rnacentral:lncRNA from 1 species
AAUUCAUGAACUCAAAAUUGAACACACUAAGGGAGUACGAUGUCAUGCACAUACCUACUAAGUUGUUAGACGACCAAUAAGCUUGAUGGAAAAGCAAGGUUAUAAUUCAAAACUAUCCUUAACAAAGAAUGGAAUGUGCCUAUCGAGCUUAGCUGACACCCCUUUCAGAUACACAACAGCAUUAAUUGGACAACCCUGCUUAAUACCCACGGUUGGCCCCAUAGACCGAGCCAUAAAUAAUUGAGUGAUGGAUUUAACUUUUGAGUCAACCCAGUCAGUCUAGUUUUCAAUCGUAAUAAAAGAUUCUGAUGAUAAGAAUUGUGAAUCAAAUCGAUCCUUCAUGGUGGAAACAAACCAAUUCAAUUAGUGGGUCUAUUUUAAACUCCCCCAAAAAAGUUAAUAAGUCCGUUAGCUCUAGAGGGAGAUUUGUACUAAAAAAGAAUAAAUUAUUAGUGUUACUUAACAUUUCAUCCUCACUGGUAUAAGUUUCAAUGGCACAUAUGAUAUUAUCCAAUAGUUCAUAUUCAACAGAGAAGAUGGAUUCGAGAUCAUCAUCAUUAAGACAAAUUUCAAUUUUUUUCUCAAAUUUCUGAAUUAUCUCAACACACUUAUUUUUCUUAAGCCAUCUCAAGACAAAUAACCAACCUGUCUCCCUCCCCUCUCUUUCAUAAGUACUCUCCACAAGAGUUAAAUUCUCAAUAAAUUCAGCCCCUCCAAAAAUUUGAAUCCACAGUCACUUUUCCUGCGUGAGCGAAAUGAAAGAAGGAGGGAAAACAAUUCAAAAGCACUCAUCUAGGCUACGCAUGACAACGCUUUUUAGUUGGGGAAAAGUUUUUUUUUUUUUCAGAAAUAGUUCUUUUUUAUUUCUAUUCCGGGGAAUAAUUUCUGAGUAAAAGAACAUGUUUGGUAACUACACAAAAUUUCUAUUCUUGGAAUAGAAAAAGAAUAGAAAUGCGUUUGAUAAUGCAACAGUUUCUUUUUUGUAUUUAUUCAUUUUUUAUUCUUGGGCAGCGACCGGCAGCGGCGGGCGGUGGGCGACCGGCAGCGGUGGCAACCGGCGACGGCGGCCGGCAACGGUGGUCGGUAGUGAGUGGUGGCUCCGAGCGGUUGAAAGUGGCCGUGGCAAGAGAGAGAAAUAAAAGAAAAAUAAAAAAGAAAAUUAGCUUAUUUCUAAAAAUUGUUCCCGAGAACAAGAAGCAACUUUUUUUUGCUUCUCGUUUCUGCUCCAAAUCUAUUCCUAGGCUAACUUUCUAUUCCCGGGAAUAGAAAAACAACUUGGCGUCACGGGUUUCUGUUCUUUUCAAAAUAACAGAAAUUCUAAGGAACAAAGACGUUGUCAUGCAGUGCCCAAACCCCCCCCUAAUGCCCCCCUCUAUUCCAAAGUAAAAUUUUGUCUUCCCUACUUAGGAUGGAAUUCUCCUAAAUUUUAGUCUUAGAGUUUAAAUAAAGCAGUUUAAGAGAGUACUCAGAUCCACCUGUCCCAUCUCCAUCUCUCUCUUUUUUUUCUUAAUUUGUAAGAUUCCUUUUGAGAAACGGCACUAAAUGCUGCUCUAGGUUUUUCACUUGUGAUGAUGGAAAAGCUUCCGCCUAACUUUCAACUCUCUCUCUCGCUCGCUCGCUCACGUCCCCAGACCAGAUCAAAGAUACCCUUCAAAAGCACUCGUCCUCUUACCCAGGUUCAUCCGCCCCUAACUCUUUCCUCAUUUUACUCUCUUCCCAUCACUCAUAAUGCUCCUCCUCAUCCGCCUUGCCAUUUAUCGCUACCACCAUCAACCUUCCGAGGCAUCCGAAGGGUUGGCUUCUGGCACGCGCGCACCUUAGCAGGAGUAGUGCUGGUGACUAGCUCCCUCUGGACUUCACUUCGUCCAUUUCCACAUGAAGUAAAAAAAACCACACGCUAGCAAGCAUUAUAUGGUCCUUACAAAAAAUUCUUGGAUUAUGUUCGAGAUUUUUACUAGGUCCGUAUUUUUUCUAUAAAUUAUGUCCUUUAUCAGUGUAAAGCAAUUUCUACACAUUGGGCGUUGGAUAGGGCAACAUGUGUAAUAAUGCAAUUUGAUAUUUAUCCAUGUAUUUUCAUACAUAUAAGUGCCGCGGAAUCGGGGGAGAACAAAUAUUUGAACUCUCAAUAAGUAUGUUCUGGGGAGACAUUACCAAACGUCCAAACUAAGGCUAAGAUUUUUCAGCACAAUUUUCAGCACAUUUAUUAGCCACUUUCUAAAAUAAUACUUUACAAUAUUCGUAGUAGCCACGCUCAAACAAUUUACGGACAUACUGUGCUCAAGACGAUCAGCACAUCACAUCAACUUCUUUAUUUUAUAGAAGGGCUUCUUCACCCUUUUCUUUUUUAUAUGGCCCGGACAAAUUCAUCUUGCCAAAAAAAAAAAAAAACAAAUAUAACUCUAUGGAUGGGCUGAGGUACAAAAAACUAGCAAUGCCAUCUUUCAUUAUAUCUUUCAUAUAAAUGGUGAUUGAUUGCAGCGCACCAUGUGAAACCCAGCGUAAAACGUAAGCUUAUUUGCUUAAUCUCCGCUAAAAAGGUUCAAAAAAUUGGUCCCCCACUGUCUCUCCUUUUUGACUGNNNNNNNNNNNNNNNNNNNNNNNNNNNNNNNNNNNNNNNNNNNNNNNNNNNNNNNNNNNNNNNNNNNNNNNNNNNNNNNNNNNNNNNNNNNNNNNNNNNNUGACACCCCUAGGGAGAUUCUAUUGAGAAACGGCACAGUGCCAUGCUUCUAUAGCAUUCCACUUGUCAUGAUGAAAAGCUUCAACCCAACUCUCGCUCAAUCAUGUCACCAGAGCAGCUCCAACUUACCCUUCAAAAGCACUCUCUCACGAGAAGUACCUAAACUUCAUCCCACCUCUCCCGAGCAACACCGACACGUGAUAUGAACACGCGACACAAUAUGAUACAACAUGUCCAUACAUCAUUUCUCGAAAAUAAAAAAUUUCAACACGUUAAAACACGUUAUAUAUUAAAUAAAUAUUUUUAUUUUUAAUUAGUUUGAUUCAAAUUUACAAAUAAAUAAAUAAUAAUAAAAGAGCUUACACUAAUAAUAUUUUCUUUUUUUUUUGGUAAAGGGUCCAUUAGUAGGAAAUUCGAAAGACAUGUUCAUAGUUAAUAUGUAUUCAUGUUUGGGAACAUGUUUCUAACUUUAAUAAAAAUUAUCGAUGAAAUUAAUGGCUAAUAAAAUAUUAGAAUAACUUAUUUAAAUAAAUCUAUCAUCUUCUAUAAUGAUCAAAAUUUAUUAUUAUUUAAUAUUUAGUAUUUUUAUUUUUCGAAAUCACUUUUUAGCCCCACUUAUUUUUUUUUUUGACCAAAAAAAAAGCCCCGCUGUCCAAAAAUUAUUUCCCUCUCUUUUUAUUUUUCGAAAUAACUUUCUGCCUUGCCUGCUUCACAGCCGCAAUCUCGCCUCCGGCCCUCUAUCACGGCAUCACAAUCGCAGCCCUCCUAAUCGCCUCGGUCUCUGCUCUUCCACUGGCCCUUCUUGCAGUCGCAAACUCGCCAUCACUUGUGGCCUCACCUCCACUCCCUCGCCCUUGCCUCCACCCUCCAUCACCUUCUUUAAUGAUUCUCUCUCCCAUUGCACUUACAAACCUACCCUAGAAACCACCAUGCCUCUCGCAAUUGUGAACACGCAUGUUGGAAUGUGUCAAAAAGAGUUGACCACGCGUCUGUAACAUCCCGGGUCUCACUGUGUGAUAUUAUCCGCUUUGGACACUGAGUCCUCACGGCUUUAAAACGCGUCACACAUAUUAAGGGACCCAAGUCAUUAUAAAUUGGCCCAAGACUCUCUCCCUAGGCGAUGUGGGACAAGGACCCCUUCCUUGCGCACGUCCGGGGACCGAGGCGCGGACGCACCGCCAUCCCUCCUCCCCACGCACCGCCGCUCGGGCCGUCACACUCUCCCCCCUUGGGAGCACAGCGCCCUCGCUGUGGCCCCACACGCGGUCGGGAGUCGGCUCUGAUACCAUUGUAACAUCCCGGGUCUCACUGUGUGAUAUUGUCCGCUUUGGACACUGAGUCAUCACGGCUUUAAAACGCGUCACACAUAUUAAGGGACCCAAGCCAUUAUAAAUUGGCCCAAGACUCUCUCCCUAGGCGAUGUGGGACAGGGCCCCCUUCCUUGCGCACGUCCGGGGACCGAGGCGCGGACGCACCGCCAUCCCUCCUCCCCACGCACCGCCGCUCGGGCCGUCACAGCGUCAAAAAUCCAACACAUAUUGGCCGCAUGUCCGAACUUGUCCGAACGUGUCCAACAUGCUCGAUUACGUGUUAGGGUGUCAGAGAACACGUAAAACGUGUCCAUGUUUCAUAGCACCUAACUUCUUCCUUUGCUUUUCCUCUCUUCCCAUCACUCCAUAUUCCUCCUCCUCCUCCUCCUUCAUUGCCAUUAUAAGGUCGGCUUCUGGCACACUCGCUUUAGCAGGAGCAGCACAGGUAAUUAGCUCCCUCCGGAACUGGCGUUCGACGCUAAUUUAAGACCAGCUCAAUCACCCCAGUCCAAGACAGUGCAACAGGGACCAAGAGAGGGAAAAUGUUGGCUCAGAGUAUCAUCUCUGUAUUCGCAAUAUAGAUGCGACCCACAGGGGAUGUGGUAAGACAGAAAGAUCUCAAACUUGGAGUUGGAGAUCACAUCUAGACUUAUCGGCUGUAUGGCCUAUACACCCAUCAUGGUUAGUGUUUCAUCCUCUUCUUCCUUUUCCUAUUAAUCGUUAUCAUUUUUCUUGAACAUGUAUAUCUUCAUAUGUGGCUCGAUUGAAUUUUCCUUUAUUAUCCUAUGUUUUUGGCCCAAGAACAGUAUUUGCAUAGCCUCAGAGAUAAAGACUCUCCUCCACCACCGUCGCACGUUCCGGCCGCUCCCCUCCGGCGGCCCCAUUGUCGAACCCUCUUCUCAGCUUUUCAGGAGUUCGACGAAAUGCCAGAGAGAGAACCUGACUGACCUGUGCUUCAUUUCUUUCUUUCCGGUCGCCGAUCCAUUUCAAGCUUCGCCGUUAUACUUCUCAGCAGUUCCAGCUUCGACCGUCUUCAUCUCCAGCGAAUCUCCAUCGUAGACUCUCCGCUUCGCGACUUCGUUUGUGUUGACGAGGUGUUCGACAAAAUGCCGGAAAGAUGGUAAGAUUGAAGUUCUCCUCCAGUCCGCAGCGCCACCAUUCCUUCUGGUAGCUGUUAUGGUCCAGGUUUUCAAGGGCGUCAACCCAGCAUCUUCCCCCCACUGCCGACAACGAUCCAUCACGCAGGACAUAGAUCCAGCAAUGCAGCAUCGGAUAGCAAGUACGCCCAAGUUGUCGUCAUCAGGAAACAAGCUUGUCGCAGUUCCUCCCCUUGAGGCUUUAGUCGAGGGUAAAAUACAUUUGAAAGUUGUCUUGUUGGAUAUUUCCUUGCUACCAAUGCAUCAUUCUACUUAGUGAAAGGUAUUGUGGAGAAAUUGCGGUGAUUCUACAGUAACUAUUUAGUACAUGUGGAAUGAUUUGGACAAUCGAUUCUUUUUCUAUAUUGCAAAUAUUCAUUAUUGAUUAUAACAGGAAUCUACGUUGGAGAGGGCAAGGUGAUUUACUUAACACGAACAGGAGUUGAGGAGAUGAGUAUCCAUCACUUCCAUCAAGAAGGCAAGAAACUCUAUUCCCUCCGUUUAUAUGCAUAUGGGCGGCCACAACUUGGGUAUUGGCUCUCGAAAUGGGGGACUUGCACCAGCUUACCCAAAACCAAAUCGCCCCAGGAAGUCGUGAACAAGGCUCGCGAGCUUCAUGAGCACGAUAGUUUUGGCAAGUACGACCUCAUCAAUAGCAACUGUGAGCAUUUCGCCUCGUUUUGCUGGGCCAGCAUUCAGGCAAGCACACAGACAGCAUUGGUCAGUGCUUGUCUGUAGAAGACCAGUGAAGUCAAAGAAUGGCUCAUGAAGUUUCUGCGGACAAAGUAAGUUCGAGUGACUCAAAAUUCCACGAAUCCUUCCUUCCCUGUCUUUUUACUAGCAACUAUUUUCAUCUGUUUGGGAGUCAUUGUCUGUCAUCCAGCAGUAAAACGAAUGAAACUUUAGUUUUGUAUAUCCACUUCUGGACUGGAGUGGGCAGUGAGAGACAUGCACACGUGCACGGAGGAAGAACUGAGAUAAGAAAUUGUAUGUAAGCCGCAAAGCUAUGUUCAUUGUUAUUUGAUGUGCCCAGAAAUAUGUAAGGACUUCUGUCUGUUGGUGCUCGGUCGUCCUAGUUAGACUUGCCAAAAGAAGGUAACAUCUAAUCCUGAAUGAAUUUUUCACAUUCAAAUCAAUUCACUUUGGUGCAUGUUGGAUACAUUCUUUGGGCAUUCGAGAAAUAAUUGGAGAAACAAAACAACAGUGAAAUCGCACUAGACUAUCAAAAGAGUUUGUUCCACAAGUGCACAAUUUUUUCCUUCUCAGCGACCUCUCUCUCUCGACAAUAUUGUCAUAUAUUUUGUUGUUCUUGCUCGGCCACCAUUGUCAUUUACUUUAAAGCAUGAAAUGAAUGACCUUGUUUUUCUUCACGGUGAUCUCUCUCUCUCUUGACAACAAGGUUCCAAUUAUAUAAUAUGAAUUGGGUGGCCACAUGUAGCAGAGGGUUUAAGUUAGAUUGGUGCGCUGUUGACGUGGUCUGCACCGUUAACAAAGACGCUCUAGCAGAUUUACUUCUAUCCUUCCUGUAAAAGUUGGACAAAAAGAAAAGUUUGAAUCGGUCCUACUUGGUGGCUUUAUACUAAAAAUAAAAUAAAAUAAAAAGGGAGAAACUGCCUCAAUUAAUGAGCUAUCUCUUCACUUCACACACAUAAAUAGCACCUGUAGCAUAGCGCAAGUGCCAACGAGUUCUAUAACGUUACUGAGCAGUCAUUCUGUUCAUAGCUGAUAGCGAAAGCCUCCAAAUUAAGUUCCAUCAAUUAAGAAGUACAACUUCAAGCGCACUCUAUCUAAAUGAAGCUAUCGAGAAAAUGUCUGAAGUUCUUUUCUGAGAAGGGCAUAAGGAAGGUUAUCUCUUUUAUGUUGCACAUACUCAUUAUUGAUUACAACAGGAAUCUACAUUGGAGAAGGCUAUGUGAUUAACUUCACAUGAACAAGAGUUGACAAGAGGAGCGUUGAUUGCUUCUGGCAAUAAGGCAAGAACCUCUAUUCCCUCCGCUUAUGUGUAUAUGGGCGGCCACAACUUGGGUAUUGGCUGACAAGAUGGGGUACUUGCACCACCCAGGGAGGCAUGAACAAGGCUUGCGAGCUUCAUGAGCACGGUAGUUUCAGCAAGUACAACCUCAUCAAUAACAACUAUGCGCAUUUCACCUUGUUUUGGCAGACCGGCAUACAGGCAAGCGCACGGACAGCAUUGGUCAGUGCUUCUCUGCAGAAGAUCAGUGAAGUCGAAGAAUGGUUCAUGAAGUUUCUUCAGAUGAAUUAAGUUCAAGUGACCCAAAAAUUCCACGAAUCUUCCCUUCCCAAUCUGUCUUUUUACUAGCAAUUAUAUUCAUCUGUUUGAGAGUCAUUGUCUGUCAUCCAGCAGUAAAAGGAAUGGAACUUUAGUUUUGUAUAUCAAGUUUGGACUGGAAUGGGCGCAAGAGACAUGCAGGUGUGCGCGGAGGAAGAACUGAGAUAAGCAAAUGUAUGUGAGCCGCAAACCUAUGUUCAUUAUUAUUUGAUGUGCCCAGAAAUAUGUAAGGACUUAUGUCAUGUUGGUGCUCGGUUCUCCUAGUUAGACUUGCCAAAAGAAGGUAACAUCUAAUCCUGAAUGAAUUUCGCAUUAAAAUCACUUCAAUUUGGUGCAUAUUGGAUACAUUCUUUUGGCAUUCGAGAAACAAUUGGAGAAACGAGACAACAAUGAAAUCGCACUAGACUAUCAAAAAGAGUUUGUUCCACAAGUACUCAAUAAUUUCCUUCUCAGCAAACUCUCUCUCAACAAUAUUUGACAUUUAUUUUGUUGUUUCUUGUAGCAUAGAACGUUACAGAGAAGUCAUUCUGUUCAUCUCUUUUAACGAAGACAGCUGAUAGCCAAAACCUCCAAAUCAAGCUGUAUCAAGUUUGGAAGUAAAACUUCAAGCACACUCUACCUAAAUGAAGCUAUCAAGAAAUUGUCUGAAGUUCUUUUCUGAGAAGGGCAUAAGGAAGGUUCUCUCUUUUACCUCAAACUGUUUACAAGAAUGAAAAACCAAUCCGAAGGAUUUUAGUCAUUAUGUGCAAAAUGUUUUUGCUUCAUUCAGAUAACCUGGCAGAAUGGUUAUUCCUAAGGACAAGGCGCAUCGUAAGAUAAGUCAAGCAGGAAGGUACUUUUUUUAGCACAAAGCCACAUAUAUGGAGUUCACUCCGAACCCAUUUCUCAAAUUUAUAUAUCACAAUCCACAAAGCAAUGCGGGCUGCUAUUUGCUAUGAAAAUUUGAACAUGUAGUCGAUGCUUAUUUGAUCGAAUAGGCCAAAUGAGUUUCACAUGGGAAGGAUACUGAAUAGUGUGACCAAUGACUGCUCUGUUCAUGCAAGCAGACAAAUUCCCUGCUGGUGAACAAAUCGAUCAUGCAUGGUGCCUUCAAGACUUUUUGAUCACAUCACAUGAAGUACGAACAACAUAAUAAAUAAAUUCAAGCAUUUAAUAUUCUGUUAGCACUGGCAGCUUCUAUUGAUUCCAAUUCUUUCACGAAUUUAGUCAUGGAAGGCCGAAACCUAGGAGUCUCUUCAACGCAUUUUGAGGCAAGCUUUGCUACUUGGAAUGCAGAACAUCUAUUAUAUUUGCCCUUCAAUCUGGAGUCCGUUAUAGUCCACAGUUUGUUUUUACUGGAUAAGAAUGGUCCAGCCCACUCUACUAAAUUAGCUUUGCCUCGUGGACGUCUCCAAUCAAAUGCCCUCAAGCCUAUUAGUAUCUCAAGCAGCACGAUACCGAAACUGUAAACGUCACUCUUUACACAUAGACGCCCUGUAAAAUCCAAGAGUUUUAUGUGAUGUUGCAGUGAAACAUUAGAAAAUAACUUCCUGAUAUUAUUGUCAAAAUUCAAGACUAAAUUUUUUUCCACACUAAGGCUCCAUUUUUGCUAAAAACAAUUUUCUGGAAAAAGUUUUCCGGAUUUUCCGGUACUAAUUUCGUAGAAAAUUAACUAAUUGAGAGAAACAUUUUCCAUCAACGAAAAAAAUCUUUUAAAAUAGAGAAAAAUGUUUUCCUCUUUUCAAGUAGGGGAAGACAUUUUUCUCACCCAUUCUCUAUUAUCUCACACUCUUGCUAGCCCUCACUUUUUUCUCUUAUUUCUUUUUUAAAAACGGCAAUGCUAUUUCCACUCCAUCUAUGACUAAAUCCACCCCAUUUUCACCAAGGAAACAAGAUUUCCCUUGAUCAUUUACUUGCAAUUUAAAGUGGUGGUCCCAUUUCUUUUUUUCUUUUUUUCUUUUAUUUUCACCUCCAUCUAGAAUCCAAUUGCCAUAAUUAAGCAUUUUACAUAUUUUUUUUUUGGUCUAUUAUGGGCAUCCUAUAUAUUUUUUAAGAAAAUAUAUAUCAAGUCUCUUUAAUUACAACAUAAAGAAUUUGUAUUUUUUUCUUUACUAUUAGUCAGAUACUACCACAAAGAGCAUGUGAGACAUUGUAAGAGCAUCUAGGAAUAUGCUAAAAUCAUCGAUGUGAAAAAGUUAUGUAUAAUGAGGUAUUUAAUUUUUUUUUUAUUGUGAAUACUUCAUGUAUGCUAUUAAUUUUUGUCAAUCCAAAAUGAUGAGAUUUCAUAAGAAUUUAUAUAUAUAUUGCAAUUUUUUAAAUAGUUAAUUUUUAUCUUUUAAAUUUUCAUGUUGGAAAGUAUAACUAUGAUUUCAUUUUCAAAAACCUUUAAAGAGGUUUUUCUUUUUCUUAUUAAUCCUUUCAUUGCAUUUGAUGUAUUUGUAUAUAAAGGACAACUGAUAAGAAAAGGAUUAAUGAUGAUAUGCACAACAAAAGUGAAAAUUUAUAAACAAGUCACUGUGUUAAAAAUUAUCUAUCUAAAUUUAUUUAUUUUUUUGAAAAUUUCUUUGAUAAUCAAUCCUUAAGUUUGCUGAAUAAUGCAAAAAAGAGUUAGGUUUUUUUGAAAAUUUUUAUUUCAACAAAACUAAUUUCUACAAAAAUAAAAUCUAUCAAUAAAAAAGAAAACCUAGUGCACACAAUAUGUCAAAACAAAACAUGUGAAAUUCUUAAUUUUGUCAAUUAGAUCCUACAUAGAAAUAGAAAAACUAAGAAAAGCAAAGUAAAUUAAUUUGUGGCACACAAAUUGUGUGUGUACCACAGAAAAAAAAAAAUGGGGCAAUCUUGUGUGUGUGUGUACGCACUCCAUAAAUUUGUGGCACUAUGUUCAAAAAAAUAAAAAAAUUUGCGGCACUAGUUUUUUUUUUUUUGGUCCAAUUCCUUUUAAUUUGCAGCACUAGUUUAAGUUGCAAUAAAUGAUUUGGGGCAAUUUUGUCUUUUUGUAAAAAAAAUGGGGUGAAUCGAUCUAGUCAAAGAUAGAUUUUAAUUCUUUUCUCUUUUCUUUUUUCUUCUUCUCACCGGCUGCCGACCACAAGGUGGAUUUAGUCAUAUAAGGAGUGGAAAUAGCACUGCCCUCUUAAAAUUAGACUUUUAAUUUUUUUAUUUUCUUUUUAUAUUUUCUUUUUUUUUCUUCUUUCUCGACCAACUGCCAACCACAGCAACGGUCGAGGAUCAGCCUUGGGCGAGCCUUGAGCUUGCUCACCAAAUCAACGAGCUCAAGCUGGCCACUCGCCGAUUUGGCAAGGCCUAAGGCCACCGAGCUCAAAGUCGCCUUUGGCCAGUCACCAUGGCUGGCUAUUAAUUGAAGAAGAAGGAGGAGGAAAAGAAAAAAGUGGAAAGAAAAAUGAAAAUUUUAAAAAUAAUAAUUAAAAAUUCAAUUUUAAAAUAAAAUAUUUAUUAAAAAGAGUCCAUGGAGUAAAAUUGAAUCGAAUUUUUCAUAUCGAACGGCAAAAAAUGUUAUUUAGUUUAUUUUCAAGUUUCAAUCGAAUACCAAAAAAUAUUAUCAUUAUUUUCUAGAAAAUGGCAUUAUGAAAUAUAAGUUGCCAAAAGGCACUUUACAAUGGAAAAAUUACCGGUUGCUCUGUAUUUAGGGGCAGCAUAGUGAAAGGUACCCAUAAACUGUGUCGUAACAUGUGACUUGCUCUCUGAAGGACCAGACCUCACCAAUCCAAAGUCCAUGAGUUUGGCCGUGUAAGACUGCAGAAGAACUUAACAAUAGAUUAGACUCGGGUUCCAACCUAAAUAUCAAUUGGAAACUUUUUGUGAAUCUAGCAAAAGACAAUAUGGAAAUAUUUAAAAGCAACUAGGGACAGUUUAAUGGUCUUGUGUUAUGAACUAAACAUCAAAUCUAAGAAGGAUAGAUUUGUGAUCAAUUACAACCCUUCCAUCAAUUAAGCAGAGGGAAACAUAGGCUCUUCACUCCUACCAUGACUCUUUUCUCCUGGUUAGAGUACACAAUUGCAAGUGUUCAAAGUGAGAUACUAGGCAUUUCAUUAUCGUCAUUAUACUUCUCCCAAGAAUUUGACUAGAAUGAUAUGGUUCAUGUGAAUUUUAUGAUACAAGACCUUAAUCAUCAUAAGGAGGAUAAAGUAUUCACCCCAUCUAGCAAAAUAUUUGAAGAUUUGAAAUCCCUGAAUAUUAUUUGCCUCUCAAAAUUGUGCAAGAAGGCCAAGCCUCUGGUAGCCCCGACUGCGAUCUUGAGGCAUACAUUCCAUGAGAGAUGAUCUGUAGAGCCCUCUGUAACCAGAAUAAUAAACAGUAUAAAAUGUAAGUAAUUCUUAAAAGCAAAUACAUGUUAAAACUAGCUUAAAUUUUGAAAUAGGCACAUGCAUCAACUAUGACUAUGACCUAAUCGAGAAGAUAUGCUAAACAAUUGGCAUUCUUAAGGAGACCUUUUCUAGAUUUACAAAAUGAUUAGACCACUUACUUUUGAAUAGAUGUUUUCCCAAACUGCCCAUCGGCGUGAACUCAUAAACAAGAGCUAAAUUUUCAUCCUCUUGACAAAAUCCCAGGAGUGUGGCAAGGUUAGGGUGAGAUGCCUUCCAAGAAAGUCUAUUUCCCUCUGCAUGGAAAUAAGCGAAAGAGAGUCUCACACAUGGUCAAUAAUAAAAGAUAUGAAAGAAAUGGAAGCCCCCACACUAAACCAGGCAGAUGUUUUUCUCCUUAAGCUUCAAAUGGUCAAAGAAAUGAAACAAUUACAAUGGAAUAGUUGAUAUCGAAACAAAAGGUACAUAAUGGGAACUGAGACCUAAUUUCCAAUGAAAUGUUCAGUUUAACUAGUAGUUUGACUGAAGACUCAUGGUCAUUGUGCAUCCUGUAAUAUAAAAUACAUAUCAAUAUUGGUAAAAUGUAUUUUAAGUCAUACCAGCUCUGUAGAAAAUAUCUAGCUCGCAUGAACCAGUAGUAGCUAUGUAGAAUCAUUGGAAUUUGUGAUAGAAAACCGUGUAUAAUUUGCGACCAAACUGAUGUAUUUAUCUUGCAGUGGUGUGUCCACCCUAUAUGGUUUGAUCAACCUUGCAAUUUGUUUCAGUUCUUGAAUAUAGAAGCAGAAUUCACUCGAAGGAAGAAGAAAACGAGUUCACUAUGAAAAGAACCGCAUUGCAUUAGUCAACGAAGGUUAGAAAGAUGAAGUUGCCUAGGGGCUAUGAUCACAUCGAAAAGGUUGAUCAUUCCAUGGAUGGAAGACUCUGAACUUAUAUUUGCGCAAUUCCUUCAUUCCUUGCAAUCGAAUCGCACUUACUAGGUUCUUCCAAUAGUUAGCAUCAUACAAGCCAAUGGCCACACACACAAACGGCAUGGGUUUACUAAGUCAAUUACAAAAUAUAAGAAAUGCAAAAAGAAAGUUCAUCACCGCUAACUAAAUGGAGCCCUAAUAUAUAUUUUGCCGAGGACCAUAGUCACCAAAUAAUCUCAAGAACAAAACCAAAAGCGCAUUUUCAAUUGUAAAUAAAUCGUUGAUCUUUCCUUUCUAUCGGAAUGAUUGAAGCAAAAUCGCUUCUUAGAUUCUUCUUUUACUUCAUUUAAAUUCAAAUAAUGCGCAUUAUGUCCACUCAAAAGCGGGGUUAGAUAACUGAAAACUUCACGAGGAUCGUAAACAUAUUUAGGUAAUAUCACCACACAAUUAACACUACUUAGUCAAGCACCAACAAUAGUGUUGCUACCGCCCACUGCCAUCAAUUUGCACCCUAACAAUGAUCGGGAGUGAUUAUAUAUGUUCCGCUUGCGUUUAAUUGAAAGAUAGAAAGAACGAGUCAGCAAUAAAUCCUAGAACAUCACAAGUUUAUGGACUAUUGAGGGAUGCUCGUGCGCUCGGUGGUUCAGGGUGUGGCAAUCUUCUUCCACCAGCAAUUUUUCUCGCUGCAUAGCACAGUGCAGUGUCCUUGUCCGAAUUUGCCAUUGGAAGAAUCUCUUUGCAUGCAUCAACUUGUCCUUAUUCAAAAACCCAAUGCAGUCGAUUUGCAAACUAAACGGAGAGUUGUUUCGAAGCAUCUUACUUCAACAGCAAAGUGUAGGGGAGUGUCUCUUCUGUAGUUGCUUUACUAGAGAAGGAAUGGUCCUGAUGGACAUUGAAUGUAAGGUAUGAUUAUAAAAAGAGGAAGAAGUCGAGCUCCAAAAAAAAUGCCCGUUGCUACCAUAGGAGUGGCAUGUAUAAGAGUCAAAAUAGGAGUAGGGCCUUCCAUGGCAUCAAGCUACCAUACAUGAAGGAGGCAUUGUCCCAAUUCCGCAAUUGCACCUACAAAUUAAAGAAAGGCACAUAAAGUAAAAAAUUAAAAAAGAACCUCAUUAUUAUAAAUCAAGUUAUUGAAUAUUUGAAACAAAUCCCUUUUUAUCACAAAGAUGUUACAAAGAUGGGAUUUGAUCCAAAAUUCUCACUAUUUAUUAGUUUCAUGGACCCCACGCCCCUAUGGUGAAAUCAGUAGACAUGUUGCUCUUAUGAAGCAGAAGAAUAUCUACAAUCAACUUUGCCUCCAUGUAUUGAGCGGCAACACAAAGAAGGUUGCUCUACUUGGGUGUUGUUUCGUGGAAAGGGAAAAGGGAGAAUGUAAAUGUAAAAUAUAGGUUUUUGACCCAGUCAAAAAAGAAAAAGGAGAAAGAAGAAGGAGAGAGACCGAGAGUCUUCGGGAGAGAAGAAGAAAAAGAAGAGAGAGAGAGAAGGAAAAAAAAAAGAAAGAAAGGAAAAAAAAAAAGGACAGGGGGAGGAGGAGGAGAUAAAAGGGAAAGAGAGAAGGAAAAAAGAGGAGAGAGAGAAAGGGAGACCAAAAAGCUCACACUCAAAGAAAGGAAGAGGAAGAGAGGAGGAGGAAGAAGAAGAAGAAGAAGAAGAAGAAGAAAGAGGGUUUCAUGUGUUUUCAUCAUGGGAGCCUCGCCAAGCCACCUUAACUACGUAACACAAUGCUCGGUAAGAGCUCGUGCCGCCCGUUCAUUCAAUCAGAGUAAUUUCAAACCUGUUGGAGAAAUCUUUCCAGAAUAUUUUGAAGCUGACAAAACGUUUCUAUCAAUCUAGUCUGGAUAAUUGCAGACCUUCUGUUUAGAGUCUAAAGACUUUCAGAUCACCAGACUCAGCACUCAAGACUCAAGACUCAAGACUAUUCUCAUUGACAGUUUUUCUAAUCCAGUGACGAAGGCAAUCCAGAGCCGAAGUAUUUGGUUGAGGAUUUAGUCCUAUCCUUUGGAGAAGAUCUCUUGGCUGGAUAAAUAUAACGGAUUCUCUUAUUCGUAAUCAAGAUCGUUUGAAGAUCCGAUGGUCAACGAAAUAUUCUUGGAAGGUUCUAUUCUUGGAAACCAAGAUCCUGAUUGUAUGGGCGAACAGGAUUGAUGGGCUAUCGUUAAGUUCCUUUAAUAGCUCGAAUGAUCUUCUUGAUUGAUUCCGUCCAACGGGUAGAUUGGAGGAAUUCCUUUGGUAAGUGACAACGAGUAUGAUGGCAUAAAGGAGUAUAAAAGGAAGACAUUCUAGUUACUUUAGUGUAUGAUCGAUAGAGAAAUUCCAGAGUCUGAAGCACCUUGAUUAUUAGUCGAUACAUUUUGAGCGAAGUUGUAUACACAAAGAGUGUCUAUACUUAGUGAUACCUUGAGCUAGUGUGGUAGAUUAUCUACACCAAGAAAUCAAAGGAGAACAACGCCGUAACAUCUCUUUGUUCAUAGUGGAAUCCAGCCAAUAGGCUGUCAGUGCAGAAGAGUGGACGUAGGCUUAAAAUAAGCCGAACCACUAUAAACCGCGUGUUCAAUUUUCUCUUCCCUUCUCUCAGUCUUACUUUGAUUAUUGUUUGUCUCAAAUCUAUCAACUGUCUAGUAUUGUGCAAUUAUCGAGAAAAAUCUUUUAUAUACCUAUUCACCCCCCUCUAGGUACUUAUUCUAACUAUAUCAAUUGGUAUCAGAGCUUGUGUACUCACUUUAUUUGAAGUGUUUUACUUCAGAGUAAAAGAUCCAUGGCUAGUAUGCUAGCACCAGGGCUGGUGGAAGGGCAAAGCAAUACCAAACCACCCUGCUUUGAUGGAAAGGAUUACAACAUCUGGAAGAACAAGAUGAAAGCUUUCCUACGAUCAAAGGAUCCUCUGGAAUGGGACGUUGUAGAAAAAGGAAUUACUCCUACAGCUGCAUCAGUUUCUGAAAGAGGGAAAGAAACUGUUGAGACCAGUGGAAUGACUCAGGAAGAGAUAAUGAAGAGACAAGCACUCGAUGCAAAAGCAAUUUACUCUUUAUAUUGUGCUUUGUCACCAACUGAAUAUAACAGAAUAUCUUCUUGUGUUAUAGCAAAAGAAGUUUGGGGACAGAUUACAUAUCACCUAUGAAGGAACAGAUCGAGUGAAGGAAACCAGAAUUAACAUUCUCGUCGGUCAAUAUGAAGCCUUUAAAAUGAAACCAGGAGAAUCUAUAACUAACAGGUUUAGCCGUUUUACAGAUAUUGUCAAUGGGCUUGAGAAUCAAGGACAAAAAAUUUCUGAUCCCAUGAAGGUAAACAAUCUACUGCGUGGACUCUCCAAGGAUUGAAUCACAUAAAGACUUCAAUAAGAGAGACGCAAAGAAUUAUGCCACUAUCUGUCGAUGAGCUGAUUGGACUCUUCAAUCUUAUGAAGUGGAACGAAUUAAUGAAGACGGAGAUCCAAAAGGUAAGAAAUCUAUUGCNNNNNNNNNNNNNNNNNNNNNNNNNNNNNNNNNNNNNNNNNNNNNNNNNNNNNNNNNNNNNNNNNNNNNNNNNNNNNNNNNNNNNNNNNNNNNNNNNNNNCAAAUGAUGAUUCUGAUGUUACAAUUCUGAAGAUGAUAUGGACGAUGAGGAGCUUGCUCUCAUGAUAAGAAGAUUCAGAAAACUGAAUAGAAAAGGAAGAAGGUUCAACUCAAAGAAACAAAGUUUUCAAAGACAGUAGACCAAGUCUGUUGAUGAUGAGGAAUCAAACAAAGAUGUAGUUUGCUUUGGAUGUAAGAAAAGGGAACACAUCAAACCCAACUGUCCUCUUCUGAAGAAGAAGAAAGGAAAAGCUAAAAAGUCUCGAAAGGCUCUCAAAGCCGAAACCUGGAGUGAUACAGAGUGUGAAGAAAGUGAUGAUGAAUAUGCCAACUUAUGUCUGAUGGCGCGAAUAGACUCAGACUCAAACUCUGGAUCAGACUCAGACUCAGACUCAAACUCUGGAUCAGACUCAAACUCAGACUCAAACUCUGGAUCAGACUCAGACAGUGAAUUUGAGGUAAGUAAUUUUAAAAUUCCUGUCAAGGUUUCUAAGUAUAUUAAUGAGCUGUGUUUUAGUCUUAAGACUUCCCUCAAAAGGAUUUCCGAACUUAAAAAGGAAAACUCUGCUCUAAAACAACAGGAAAAUGUUUUAAAAGAAAGAGUUAAAUGUUUAGACAAGAAUGUUUCCACUCUUAAAGAAAAUGAAGAUAGUCUUUUGAAAGAAAAUGCUCUUUUAAAAACUGACUUAUCAAAUAUUUCAAAGAAAUUUUCAAUAGGGUCCGAGAAACUUGAAAAAAUUCUUUCAGCUCAAAGACCUUACUUCAAUAAGUCUGGUCUAGGUAUGACAGCAGAAACUAUUCCCUUGAUUGAUUUUCCUAAAGUAAAAGAAAGAAUCAAGCAAAGACCCUCGAGAGAGGUUUACAAAAAUCAUUUCAAGAAGGUUUUUGUAAAGUCUGUAGGUCGAAAUGCCCUCAGGUGUUCAAAGUGCAACAGUCCGGAUCACUUUGAAAAAGAGUGUACUAUGGUUUGGAAACCUGUUAAGAAAGUAUGGGCUAAUACUGUUUAUCUUACUAACACCAAAGAACCCAAGAAAAUUUGGGUACCAAAGAAAGUUUGAGACUCUCUUUUAAAUGCAGGUCUCCGUCAAGAAAAAUGUAAAGUGGUAUCUUGACAGUGGAUGCUCAAAAUAUAUGACAGGAGACUCAAAUUGCUUCAUAAAGCUUGUUCAAGUAAAUGGUGGAAAAUUUUCAUUUGGAGGAAACAGCAAAGGAAGUAUUGUGGGAUUUGGAACUGUGAAAAUUGAAAAUCUCACAAUAAGUAAUGUUUCCCUAGUGGAAGGACUCAAUUACAAUCUUCUUAGCAUCAGUCAACUGUGUGAUAUUGAUUUUAAGAUCUUCUUUCAAGAAGGAAUAUGUACUGGAACCAGUAAAGACUCUACUCAGUCUUUCAUGGGUCGAACGCAUGGAAACAUCUAUCUCUUGGAUGUGAAACCGGAUGAAUCACAAUGCUUAAUCUCAAUUCAAGACAAAGCAAGCUUAUGGCACAAAAAGCUUGGUCACAUCAACAUGAAGCAAUUAGCCAAAAUCUCUACAAAACAGCUUGUUCAAGGUCUACCCAAAUUACCAUACCAAAAGUCUGAUCCAUGCACUCCAUGUAUUCUGGAAAAGCAGGUAAGAAAUUCAUUUAAGCCAAUAAAUCAUGUCUCUACUAAUCAUGUACUACAGUUGCUGCAUAUGGAUCUCUUUGGUCCAACCAGAACCCAGAGCAUUAGAGGUAAGAAAUAUUGCCUAGUAAUUGUGGACGAUUACUCCCGAUUUACUUGGGUAUAUUUCCUUGCAAGUAAGUCUGAAACCUUCUCGUAUUUGGAGAAAUUUGCUAAAAAUGUUCAAAAUGAAAAAAGAUGUGUUAUCUCUAGUAUAAGAACAUAUCAUGGAAGUGAAUUUGAAAAUCAAGAUUUUACAAAAUUUUGUGAUAAAUCUGGCUUUAAGCAUGUGUUCUCAUCUCCAUAUACUCCUCAGCAAAAUGGAGUUGUGGAAAGAAAGAAUAGAUCUCUUCAAGAAAUGGCUAGAACUCUUUUAAUUGAAAGUAAGAUUUCUUCACGAUUUUGGGCUGAAGCUAUUUCAACAGCGUGCUAUAUCAUCAAUAGAGUCUUCUUAAGACCUAUUCUAGAGAAAACCCCUUAUGAGUUAUUCAAAGGUAAGAAGCCUAUUGUUUCAUACUUUCAUGUGUUCGGUUGCAAAUGCUUUAUAUUGAAAAAUGCUAAAGAUCGAGUUGGUAAGUUUGAAGAAAGAUCAGAUGAAAGCAUCUUCCUUGGAUAUUCUACAUCAAGCAAAGCCUACAGAGUCUAUAACAAGAAGAGCCAGUCUGUGGAGGAGUCAAUGAAUGUCAAAUUCCAAGACUCUACGCAAGAUGAAUCAAGUCAGACUCAUCAUGAAGAGUCUGAACCUGCUCUAGACCCUCCAAAGCUUACAACUCAAGAAGCAUCUCAGACUCUGGAAGACCAGCAUCAAGCUGUUCGUGAAGAUUCAAAUAAAGAAAGAGAUCAUCAACCAGACAAAUCAAUCAGUAACUGGAAGCAUAAGUCCAGUCAUCCCAAAGAUCUCAUUAUCGGCGAAUUUAAUGAAGGAAUUCGCACCAGAUCCAAAAGACGUGAAGAGUCUAGUGCUGUGGCUCUCAUUUCUGAAAUUGAACCAAAGAGCAUAGAAGAAGCUUUAUCUGAUGAAAGCUGGAUUGAAGCUAUGCAAGAAGAGCUCAGACAGUUCAACAUUAAUGAUGUCUAGGAAUUGACAUCUAAACCAAAAGGUAAAACUGUUAUUGGAGCUAAAUGGGUGUUCAGGAACAAGAUGAAUGAGAAAGGAAAAGUCGUACGAAACAAAGUAAGACUCGUGGCCAAGGGAUAUACGCAAGAAGAAGGAAUAGACUAUGAUGAGACUUACGCUCCAGUAGCAAGGUUAGAAGCUAUUCGAUUAUUACUUGUGUUUGCUUGUUAUAAAAAUUUCAGGUUAUUCCAAAUGGAUGUCAAAAGUGCCUUCCUAAAUGGAUUUAUCCAUGAGGAAGUUUAUGUGGAACAACCACCAGGGUUUGAAGACCCAAAGAAGCCAGACUCAGUCUUCAAACUGAAAAAAGGCCUUAUAUGGUUUAAAGCAAGCACCUCGAGCUUGGUACGACAGACUAAGUAAGUUCUUAAUACAUAAUGGUUUUGUCAAAGGUAAAGUAGAUACUACUUUAUUUAUCAAAAAGGAAAACAAAAGCUUUUUAAUUGUUCAAAUAUAUAUGGAUGAUAUUAUUUUUGGAUCCUCUAAUGAAACUCUAUGCAAGAAAUUUUCUAAGUCUAUGCAGGAUGAGUUUGAAAUGAGUAUGAUGGGAGAGUUAACAUUCUUUCUUGGACUCCAAAUAAAACAAUUGAAGGAAUGAACUUUUAUUCAUCAAGAAAAAUAUACUAAUAAUCUUGUCAAAAAGUUCGGACUGGAAAAGUGCAAAAAGACCGACAUAGCAAUGUCAAGUUCUCUGAAGAUAGACAAAGAUGAAGAAGGGAAGAAAAUUGAUCAAAAGCUGUACAGGAGCAUCAUCGAUUCACUUCUUUAUCUUACUGCUUCUAGACCUGACAUUUUGUUGAGUGUUGCAUCUAUGCUAGGUUUCAAUCAGAUCCUAGAGAAUCCCAUCUCAUGCUGCGAAACGUAUUAUUAAAUACGUUGCUUCAUCUUCAAGCAUAGGUUUUUGGUAUCCUAAGAAGGGAGACUUUAAUCUUCUGGGAUAUUCAGAUGCAGAUCUGCAGGUUGCAGAGUUGACAGAAAGAGCACUUCGGGAACUUGCCAGUUGCUUGGAAGCAGGACAAUGUCUUGGUUUUCAAGGAAACAAAGCACUAUGGCUCUCUCAACAACAGAAGCAGAGUAUGUAGCUCUUGGAAGUUGCUGUUCGCAAAUUCUAUGGAUAAAACAACAGCUACAAGACUUUGGAAUUGAAGACUCAUGCACAGAGAUUAGAUGUGACAACACCAGCGCAAUCAAUCUUACUAAAAAUCCAAUCCUUCACUCAAGAGCAAAGCAUAUAGAGAUUCGACAUCAUUUCAUUAGAAAUCAUGUUCAAAAUGGAGAAAUCUCGAUUCAAUUUGUUGAUUCAAAGAGCCAACUAGCGGAUAUAUUCACAAAGCCUUUGGAGAAAAAUCAAUUCGAUUUUAUCCGUUCCAGACUCAACAUUUUGAAGCUUGAGGAAGUUAAAGUUUAGAGACUCUCAAACCCUCAGACUCAGACAUUCAUGGCUAUAGACUGUAAGUUGUUAUUAUAUUCAAUCUCGAAAAGGUACGAUCAUUAGUUCAGUUAAUUUAUAAUUUCCGUGAAAAACGGAAUCUUGUCUUUUCAAAAAGAUUAACUUAUAUUUGGCAGUUAUCGAUUUCAAAAGAGGCGUCUGUUCAUUUUCCUUUGUGCUGAUUGGUUGUUUCCUUUUUUAAACUGAGUUAUAUAUAUACAGUUUUCCUCGCUUAAACUUCAAAACCCUAAAAAGGCAUUCUCCUACCAAUCCUAUCUCUACUUUGUGUUCAUCUUCGAGAAAUUUGUCAUCUUUUCUUGGGAAAGCGAGUAAAGGAAUCUUUCAACGACAAGGAAGGAUGUCUUCUUCGAGAAAGUCUUCAAGAAUCGCGAACAGGGGACCACAGAGAAUGAGGGAGGGGCCUACCCAUUUCGAUCUCACCAAAGAGGAAGAUUUAUCGAGUCAGCAACAGAGCCCGAUUCACUCUCCACCACGUCACUCUUCAUCAUCUACCCCAAAAGGUGCGGGUCAACAACCGGAGGAAGAAAUAAUCGAGGACGCAGACCCUGUAAGAGUCCAAAAACCCUCUUUUAUUUACAAGCUCUAUCUUGCGUUGAAAAGCACUGGGACUCCACUGAACUAUAUAGAUGAUUUCCUUAAAGAUAAGAAUUAUGGGAAUGAGUAUAUCUUUUUGCGACGAAUGGAGGAUUUGGGAAUUGCUCCCAAAGGAAAGGCUGAGGAAGCACUUGCGAACAUUCCAAGUGACCCUCGUGUAUCGGGACUGAAUCCAACUGACGGGAACGAUGAUGAUAAAAUGUUCCUUGAAUUUCAACCUAGAAUGGGUGUUGCUACGAAGGUGAAGGGAAAAAGGAUGGAUUUGUUUAAAUCGAAGGAACAGGAGAAUCUGUUCUUCAGACUGUUGAAACGAGGGGUGAUAAACCCUAGAAGUGUUGAUUUCGAUUUCUUGGAUGCCAUUAAUGUGAAUUUAAGGGAGAAGUUCAAUCUGCUUCAACUUGAGCAAUUUUACUCCGAUACCACAGACGGUUAUGCGCAAUUGAUAGCAUACUUCUAUUCAAAUCUUAGCUUUUUAGAUGCGAAUAGAAUAUCCUUCAGUGUUCGAGACCACAACUAUGUGGUAGAUGUGGACAUGUUGGCAGAUAUAAUUGGAGUUGAAAGAGGACGAUAUCAACCGAUCAAAGUUUCGAUUGCUCGUACCACACUGGAGCUUGUCAAAGACAGGAUACAGAGGGAAGAAUUACCUACACAAGAAUGCGUGCCAUCAAUAUUUUGCUUCACAAAAUUGUGAUCAACUAUAUCAGGCCAAAGUCUACAUCCCAGACUGACGUGUCUAACUCCGAGGCGAAAUUGAUGUACGCGAUCAAUUCAGGGAAGAAGUUCUCUCUUCCUCACACCAUUCUCUUUCACAUGUACAGAGCAAUGGUGAAGGACAAGGGCCAAUUGCCUUACCCAGGUCUUAUGACCAAGAUCUUCAGACACUUGAACAUUGAACCUCCACAUACUCUUUGUGUUCGACCAUGCGACAAAAUGGUGGUGGGUUUGAAAAUGCUGACAAAAAUGCGUCUGAAAGAGCUUAAUAAGGCAAUGGAGAAGUUCAAAGUGAAGACUCCAGCAUCUUCUGCAUCUAAGAGAAAAGGAAAAGAGCCCAUGGGUGCUCCACCCAAAAAGAAAAUAACUCUUAUCUUGGAGGAUGAAGAUGAAGAGGAAGAUCUCACUAUCUCUGCAUUGAAAAGGACCAGACGUUCUGUACCUGAAUCAAUAGAACGACGGAUGAAAGGAAAAGAAGCAGAGGAAAAAGAACAGAGAGAAGAAAAGGGACAAGCAAAGAACAGAGAAACAGAGGAGCAACAAGAGAAAGAGAAAGAAGACAAAGAGAAAGAAGCUGAAGAAGAAAGAGAAGCAAUGAAAGAAAAGUCUGCAGAUGAAGCCGAAGAAAAAGGGAAUCAAGACGCUGAAGAGCAUGAUAAUCACUCUUCCCCAAUUGAGGUCCUAGAGACAGAGGGAGAUGGCGAGCAAGGAAGGACUACACCAUAUCCUGUCAACAGUGAAGGUGUGAGUCGCUCACCAGCAAAUCCAGAAGAUUUUCAGGCUUCUCAAAUGCCUGCGGAAGGACAUGAUACGUCAACACCAAAUCUGCUCGAUUACACCGAAGUUCCAUCAUCUACCUUCACUCCAUCCAAGAGAGCAAAUGCGAGCACACAGACGAACAAUACAGCAGAUUUUCGUCGUAUCCUUGAUGUUCUUCUAGAAAUGCAGGGUCAAAUCUAUGCUCUGGACUGUGAACUUCAAGUCCUGAAGAAUGCUGGACAAGCAUCUUCUGUUACCCUGGCGGAGCAAAUGAAAGACCUCGCUCUUCAAAUUCAAGCCAAUGCCAAAGGAGAAGAGGUGGCUCAUCUAAGGGAAGACUUGAAGAGGCUGGAAGGCAUCGUACAGUCAAUGGGAGAUUUCCAGAUUGUGCACAUUCCCAAGCAGAUUUGACUCUUUUCUCACCUUUUUAAUGAUGACAAAAAGGGGGAGAAUUGCAAUUUGAACUCUUUAAAACUUUGACUUUAAAUUUCUUUGUGUGUUUGAAUGUUUGUUUUUUAGUAUGACUUGGGUGUGAACUUGAAUUUGACUGACUUGGGUGUGGAUUUUGAUACUUGACUGUUUGCAUUUAUAUCAAGUGUUGUUGUAUGGUUUUAUUCAUGAAAGACUAACCGAUUUUCUGUGGAUGCAGAGUCUGGUUGAUUUUAUUAAUCUUUAUGAGAUAGCCAUAUUGCUUGAGUAAUGUUUUGUAGGUCAAAGUUAUUCAAAUCUACAGGAAAGUUUUGUCACCAUCAAAAAGGGGGAGAUUGUUGGAGAAAUCUUUCCAGAAUAUUUUGAAGCUGACAAAACAUUUCUAUCAGUCUAGUCUGGAUAAUUGCAGACCUUCUGUUUAGAGUCUAAAGACUUUCAGAUCACCAGACUCAGCACUCAAGACUCAAGACUCAAGACUCAAGACUAUUCUCAUUGACAGUUUUUCUAAUCCAGUGACGAAGGCAAUCCAGAGCCGAAGUAUUUGGUUGAGGAUUUAGUCCUAUCCUUUGGAGAAGAUCUCUUGGCUGGAUAAAUAUAACGGAUUCUUUUAUUCGUAAUCAAGAUCGUUUGAAGAUCCGAUGGUCGACGAAAUAUUCUUGGAAGGUUCUAUUCUUGGAAACCAAGAUCCUGAUUGUAUGGGCGAACAGGAUUGAUGGGCUAUCGUCAAGUUCCUUUAAUAGCUCGAAUGAUCUUCUUGAUUGAUUCCGUCCAACGGGUAGAUUGGAGGAAUUCAUUUGGUAAGUGACAACGGGUAUGAUGGCAUAAAGGAGUAUAAAAGGAAGACAUUCUAAUUACUUUAGUGUAUGAUUGAUAGAGAAAUUCCAGAGUCUGAAGCACCUUGAUUAUUAGUCGAUACAUUUUGAGCGAAGUUGUAUACACAAAGAGUAUCUAUACUUAGUGAUACCUUGAGCUAGUGUGGUAGAUUAUCUACACCAAGAAAUCAAGGGAGAACAACGCUGUAACAUCUCUUUGUUCAUAGUGGAAUCCAGCCAAUAGGCUGUCAGUGCAGAAGAGUGGACGUAGGCUUGAAAUAAGCCGAACCACUAUAAACCGCAUGUUCAAUUUUCUCUUCCCUUCUCUCAAUCUUACUUUGAUUAUUGUUUGUCUCAAAUCUAUCAACUGUCUAGUAUUGUGCAAUUAUCGAGAAAAAUCUUUUAUAUACCUAUUUACCCCCCUCUAGGUACUUAUUCUAGCUAUAUCAAAACCUAGGGCUUGAAAUUCGGAAUUUUGGGAAAAUCAAGCAAUGAAGUAUGAUUUUUGAGUCGUUGAACCACGUAUAAAAAAGUUUAUGGUGUUUUGAAGCUAUAGGAUUUUACGAAUCUGAUUUGAGCUUACGGUUUGUCCGAAACAAAAUUUUAAAAUUUAUUGCGAGUGAUGAAUAGUGCGCAACCAAGACUUCGGGGCCAUAUUUUGUUAAUUUUCAGCUUGAUUUCGGGUUGGCUAAAUUAGGAUUCUUAUAGUAUGUUGGAUGGACUUUCCAUUGACUAUAAGUACAUUUAAACAAAGUUCGGUGGAAAAAAUUAUGGCAUGAUAAAGUUCCGUGCUCAAGCUUUGUGCUAUAGACGGCUUCAAGUAAUUCCUUUGGUUGAGCAAUUUAUUGGUGCGUGGGAGUCGUUUUCUAAGCGCUCAUGCUUAGUUUAGUCAAAUCAUAGUCGUUUUCUAAGCGCUCUCAUUGUUUCUCGUUUAUUUGAUAGGAUCGCGAGUUCGACAAUUUGAGUAACGCUUGUUAUUUGAUCAUAAGCAUUUCGAGAUGAGUGGUGCUAUAUCUUCUAAGAAUUUAUAAGCUCAUAUUUUUUAAAUGAUAAAGGAUCGAUAUUUUAUGAGUUAUGAAUAAGUAUAUUUGUUAUAUAAAAUUUAGAUCAGGCAUUUAUUACGCUUUGGUAUUUGAGAAUAGUGUGAGAACUUUUUGGUGGAAAUAUAUAUUAUGUUUGAUGAAUGAAGUUGAAAAAUAUUACAUGUUUUGGGUUUGUGAAACCUUUUUACGAAAAGUUCGACUUUGAGAUGGUUUAUGGAAUGUUAUAUAGAUAUCGAUUUGUGAUAAGCUUUUUGAAAUGUAUUUGAUUUGAUUUGAGUUGUAAAAUUGAUUUAUGAGACGAGUCUUGAAAUUAUUUUAGAAUGUUUUAUGAAAAGUAUUUUUGGCAAAUAAGUUGAAUCGUGAAAUAUUUUGGUGAAUAUGAAAUGAUUUAUGGAUUUGGCUUUGUGUAUUGUGGAUAGUGUUGUUUUGGAUUGGUAUUAAAGCUCAAUAUCAUUGUGAGCCCAGUGAAGGGCUUGUAGGUAUGCACAUACUAGUCUAGAAUAUCUUUGUAGGCCGAGUCACAAACUAAUAAUAGGUGAAGACUUUGCCAAGGGGGGAAUCUUGGUCGCCUCGUCACCAAGCGUUGUAUCGUGACCAUCGUUUGAUAUUGAGCAACGAAUUAGUCAAUAGAAUGGACCAUUGACACAUGAUAUGAGUUUAAUCGAUGAAAUUGACCAUUGAUGUGUAAUUUGAGAUUUGUUGUUGGAAUGGACCAUCAACGUGUAAUUUCAUUAGACCGUUGAUAUGUGGCAUGAGAUUAACCAAUUGAAUGGACCAUUGGCGUGUGAAUUAAUGAGAUUAAUCAAUGGAUUAGACCAUUGAUGGUUAUUUUGAUAUUAUUGUGAAAUGAUUAUUUCUGAUAUUUAAGCGUAUGUACUUAUUCUUUUAGUUUAUGUUUGUUAUAUCAUAGAUUUGAGUUAAGAGAGUUGUAGUUUGAUUUAUAAAUAUGCAUAGUGGGUACUUGAUCCGCUUAGAAAAAAUGCACUAUUUAAUAAGCUACGGUUGCUCACCCCUCUAUUUGCCAAUCUUUUUCAGAUCCCUCAGCUAACAAUGAGUAGUACGAAAGCAAUAUCGACGAGGGGACUUUUAGGAGUUGGAUUUUGGGAGCUUUGGGGCAGCGUUUUUCGAAUGGAAGGACGGCCUUGUCAUCCCCCAUUCAUGAUGGUUUUAGGGUGUGACAGUAAACCCAAUGCAUGUGUGCGAAAGAGCAUGCCUGGACAAGUUCAACCUUAGGAGACUUUGGAGGUAAAUUACAAUAUUUGAAUAAAUGAUACUAACUUGUCAUCUAUAAUUAAUUAAUUAAUUAAUUAUUGAGUGUUACUAUUUUCAAAUUAUGAUUGCGGACUAUAUAAUCAAGCUAUCGUUCAUAAAGAUAAGUUAUUGGUUAUAAAUGAAAACGAAGUUCCCACGAUUAAAUAUAAAUUAUGAUUCAAAUUACGAGACCACUUCUCAACCCUAAAUGCACUCUUUUCAUGUCUAGUCCUACAUGAGAUAAAAAUACGAUAGAUAACAUUUUGAGACAAUUUCAAUUCAACUUUAUCUAAUACUAGCAUGUAAUCUUGCACGAUUCGAGGAUACUUUAAUUCUCCAAAAAAAGAAGUGCAACUUUUUAUAGAACUAAAAACUUGUUCAUACUUCAUACGUAAGCAAGGGUCGCUUAGCAUAGGCACCUGAUGAUAUACAUUACGAUAAUCAAAAUUAAUUAGCUAACAUUAGUCAUGUGUCGAGAUUUCGGUUUCCAAAUCCCUAUAGAUCUUUAUAUACCGUGAUUUCUGUUUUUGACACUGUAUUGUUGUUUCCACGUUCAACAACCUAUAUCUAGAUUGAGCCUAUAUUAUUCUGCUCAAGUCCUGCCUCCAAUUCGUUAUCUAUGUUCCAGGAAACCAGGAAAAGAUAACGAAACAAUUGGACAUGUCUUAGCUGCAACAAAAUAGCACCAAAUUACAUGUCUUAUUCAAUUGGAAUGGACAACAGGGCAGCUCUUUACUUUAAAUGACUCAAUCAGUAACCCAACCCUGUCCCACAGCUCAAAAAUUAACGAUGAGAAUGUAACGAACAGCGUAAUUCUUCUUGGAGAUUGGUGUCGGUAGGGGUGUGCAUUCUUCUUGAGGGAACCGGUCCGGUUCCUGGGUCCAAUUGUUGAGAACCGGUGGGAACCGGUCCGGUUCCCGGUUCCAUGGGCGGAUCCGCCCGCCCACCCACCCGAACCGGACCGGUACUAUUUAUAAUUAAAAACAAAAAAACAAAAAAAAAAACAAAAGUCGCGAACGAAGCCCCCUGCCCCUAAUUCGCGAAGCCCUAAUCACGUUUCUUCUUCUUCAACCUCCGACUCUCUCUGUUCCUUUCCUUCUCUUCGUCUUCGAUUCCACGGUUCCACGGUCCACCCCGAGUAUCCACGCCGCCGCCGCUGCUCCUCCUCCGCCACUGUCCGCCCCCAUCGCGCCGGUCACCACUCGCCAGCGGCCAACCGCUGCUCCUCCGCCUCUGCAAGAACUCUUGACCGAGCCGGCAAGCCCCUUUUCCGUCACUCAACAAGGUAAGAAGCCCUAAUUUGCUUCUCAUCUCUUGAUUCUCUUCCGAUUUCUUCCUCAGUUUUUGAUUAUCUCUCUGUUUCUUCCUCAAUCUCUUCUCCUCGUCUUCGAUUCCUCACCAAGCAUUCACGCCGCCACCGCUGCUCCUCCUCCGCCACUGUCCGCCCCCUCGCGCCGGUCGCCACUCGCCACAGCCGCUGCUCCUCCGCCUCUGCUGUCCGCCCCCCUCGCCAUAAACCCUACAGAGCUCUUGCUUUCCUCACCACCAAACCAAAGGUACAAACGAGUCCGUGCGUGGCAUCUCGUUAUUCUGCUCAAUUUGUCAAUUCCCGUCGUUCUAAAAGUGAGUUCGGUUGUGUUUAGAACUUUAGAUCCACGUAGCAAAUUUGAGGGUCGUGCGAUUUUGGGGUCUCCUGAAUUGAGUUACAAGUUGGUUAUUUUCUAGCGGAAUCUUCUUUUCCAAGUGUUGUUUCAAUUUGGUCUUUCGGUUACUCGGUGGCCAUGGUAAUAGCAUGUGCUGUUGGUGGCAUUCCUUUCCUGACCGUUCCCUUUUCUUUUCUUUUUUUAUUCGCCGGGUUGAUCAAUGUGCAUUGGAAUUUCUCUGUAUAUCGUAUAAUGGAUGUUUGGUCGACUAUUAUGUUCAGUUUGGCAUGGUGGAAUGGAAUGGAAUCGGGAAAUGAUGGGGAAAGGAAUGGGCUAGAGUGAUGAUUCCAAGUCUUGGUUUUUUUCUUGGUGAAUCGUGGGAAACGGAACGGAAUAAAAUCUUUGUGUUUGAGCGUGAUUCUAGAUAAUUUUGUGAGUUUUGAGCUUGUGGUGAUUUGGUAAUGUGGAGAGAUGGUCGCUGUUCACGAGCUUUUGAGAUUUUCUGGUCGAUUGUCACUUGUCAGUGCUUAGUUCAAUUUGCUACAAUUUGAUUUUGUGAUAAUUCUGGGAGUUGUGAGGUUGUAUUGGUUUGUUGAUGGGGUCUAUUUUCAGUUUUGUGAUAAUCCUACAGCACUUCUUUUGUUCGUUUGCCAGCUUUUGGCAGUUUCCGAAAAAAAACAGAGAGUACAUUUUCGGUUUUGUCCACAAAAAAAAAACAGAGAGUACGUUUUCGGUUUUGCAUUUGAGAAAUUGUGAUUGUGCAUUUUCUUAUAUUCUAAGAUUGAUGAUCUAGACCUAAAGAAGUGAUGUAGACUAACCAUAGUGCAUUGCUUGAUUCAGGUGAUUCAUUAACAUGUCAAUGGAAGUAGAGGAAUCUUAUGAUGCAAUAAUACCAAUAGUGGAAUCAACAUCACAAGAACAUGAAGGAGGUGAAAACUUUGAAGAAACAUCAAAAACAAAUCAGGUAUCUGGUUCUUGUCCAUGUCCUCCUAGUAAGCGAAAAUCAGCAGCUUGGCUUCAUUUUCGAAAAGGAAUAACUCACACAAAUGGGAAAGUUGAUGUAUUUUGCAAUUACUGCGGAUCCAAGUAUUCAUACCACGUUGAUAAUGGGACUUCAAAUAUGUUGAAGCACUUGAGAAAGUGCAAUAANNNNNNNNNNNNNNNNNNNNNNNNNNNNNNNNNNNNNNNNNNNNNNNNNNNNNNNNNNNNNNNNNNNNNNNNNNNNNNNNNNNNNNNNNNNNNNNNNNNNNNNNNNNNNNNNNNNNNNNNNNNNNNNNNNNNNNNNNNNNNNNNNNNNNNNNNNNNNNNNNNNNNNNNNNNNNNNNNNNNNNNNNNNNNNNNNNNNNNNNNNNNNNNNNNNNNNNNNNNNNNNNNNNNNNNNNNNNNNNNNNNNNNNNNNNNNNNNNNNNNNNNNNNNNNNNNNNNNNNNNNNNNNNNNNNNNNNNNNNNNNNNNNNNNNNNNNNNNNNNNNNNNNNNNNNNNNNNNNNNNNNNNNNNNNNNNNNNNNNNNNNNNNNNNNNNNNNNNNNNNNNNNNNNNNNNNNNNNNNNNNNNNNNNNNNNNNNNNNNNNNNNNNNNNNNNNNNNNNNNNNNNNNNNNNNNNNNNNNNNNNNNNNNNNNNNNNNNNNNNNNNNNNNNNNNNNNNNNNNNNNNNNNNNNNNNNNNNNNNNNNNNNNNNNNNNNNNNNNNNNNNNNNNNNNNNNNNNNNNNNNNNNNNNNNNNNNNNNNNNNNNNNNNNNNNNNNNNNNNNNNNNNNNNNNNNNNNNNNNNNNNNNNNNNNNNNNNNNNNNNNNNNNNNNNNNNNNNNNNNNNNNNNNNNNNNNNNNNNNNNNNNNNNNNNNNNNNNNNNNNNNNNNNNNNNNNNNNNNNNNNNNNNNNNNNNNNNNNNNNNNNNNNNNNNNNNNNNNNNNNNNNNNNNNNNNNNNNNNNNNNNNNNNNNNNNNNNNNNNNNNNNNNNNNNNNNNNNNNNNNNNNNNNNNNNNNNNNNNNNNNNNNNNNNNNNNNNNNNNNNNNNNNNNNNNNNNNNNNNNNNNNNNNNNNNNNNNNNNNNNNNNNNNNNNNNNNNNNNNNNNNNNNNNNNNNNNNNNNNNNNNNNNNNNNNNNNNNNNNNNNNNNNNNNNNNNNNNNNNNNNNNNNNNNNNNNNNNNNNNNNNNNNNNNNNNNNNNNNNNNNNNNNNNNNNNNNNNNNNNNNNNNNNNNNNNNNNNNNNNNNNNNNNNNNNNNNNNNNNNNNNNNNNNNNNNNNNNNNNNNNNNNNNNNNNNNNNNNNNNNNNNNNNNNNNNNNNNNNNNNNNNNNNNNNNNNNNNNNNNNNNNNNNNNNNNNNNNNNNNNNNNNNNNNNNNNNNNNNNNNNNNNNNNNNNNNNNNNNNNNNNNNNNNNNNNNNNNNNNNNNNNNNNNNNNNNNNNNNNNNNNNNNNNNNNNNNNNNNNNNNNNNNNNNNNNNNNNNNNNNNNNNNNNNNNNNNNNNNNNNNNNNNNNNNNNNNNNNNNNNNNNNNNNNNNNNNNNNNNNNNNNNNNNNNNNNUCUAGGAUCACCCUUACGACUGACACAUGGAGUUCCAUUCAGAAUUUGAACUAUCUAUGCCUUACUGCACAUUUAAUUGAUGAAGAUUGGAAAUUGCACAAAAGGAUCAUCAAUUUUGUGGUAAUAGCUAGUCACAAGGGCAGGGAUAUUGGGAGAGUUAUUGAUAAAUGCAUAUAUGAGUGGGGAAUAGAGAAGAAAGUGUCCACAAUUACAGUGGAUAAUGCUAGUUCAAAUGAUGUGGCCAUUAAUUAUUUGAAAGAAAAAUUUUCAAGAGAGAGGCUAUUGAUCUUAGAUGGUGAAUCUUUACACAUGAGAUGCACGGCUCAUAUAUUAAACUCGAUUGUGAAGGAUGGCUUGGCUGAGAUACGUGAUUCCAUUACACGUAUUCGAAACGUGGUUAGGUAUGUGAGAAGUUCUCCUAUGAGAGCUAAGACAUUUCGAGAUUGCAUUGAAAUUACAAGAAUUGCUUAUAAGGGUUCAGUUUGUCUUGAUGUCCCAACUAGGUGGAAUUCCACUUACCUAAUGUUAGAGAGUGCCAUAAAGCUAAAAAAAGCUUUUGAAAGGAUGGAGGAAGAAGAUGUUUCUUUCUUAACUAAGCUUAAUUCUGAUACUCCAAAUAGCGUUGAUUGGGAAAAUGCUAUUGUUCUUUCUAAUUUUUUGAAGAAGUUUUAUGAUACAACCAAGAAGAUGUCCGGAACUUUGUAUAUCACUUCAAAUGAUUAUUUUGUGGGGAUAGCUUCUUUGUACAAAUAUUUGCGGGAAGCAAUGAAGGCUUUUGAUCAUAGGGUGAGAGUUAUGGGGUUAAAAAUGAAAGAGAAAUUUGACAAAUAUUAUGGAAGUUUUGAAAAAGUCAAUAUGAUGGUAUUGAUUGCGGUAACAUUGGAUCCUAGAAAAAAGCUGAAUUAUGUGAGGUAUUGUUGUAAACUCAUUUAUGAUGAUGCUGCAGAAGUUGAUGAGAUGUUUGAUAAGGUGAAGUUUGCCUUGGAACGUGUGUUUAAAUUUUAUGAGAAAUCUUGUCACACUUCUAGAGACAAAAAUUUGGAUGGUGAAUUGGUAAGUUCUUCUAAUAUCGGUAGUAGCUGCGAUUCUUAUCUCAAUGAGGGAAAUGAAGAGGAUGAUUGCAGCUUAAAUUUCUUUGUGCAAGAGCCUUCGUAUGAUGACUUUCUUAAUGAGGAGAAGAAAAAGUCCGAUAGCAACUUAUCUGAGCUCGAUCGAUAUCUUAAAGCUGAACUUGAAGAUGGUCGCGAUCUUGACAUUUUGAAAUGGUGGAGUGUUGCUGGCCAAAAGUUUAAAAUCUUAUCUUUGAUGGCUCGGGAUAUUUUGUCUAUUCCCGUUACUACCGUUGCUUCAGAAUCAACUUUCAGUACUUCUGGUCGUGUGCUUGAUGGUUUUCGGAGUUCUUUGACUCCUAGAGUUGUGGAAGCUUUGAUUUGUACUCAAGAUUGGUUGAGAGCAAUUCGUGAUCCGAUUAAUGUUGAAGAAUGUAUUGAAAAUGCGGAAAAGUUUGAAUUUGGUAAGUCCAUAUCAUUUCAUAAUGUAAUUUUUUUGUAUAUCUAUUAUCUAAGAAUUGAAUUCUUUAUUUAAUAUCUUCUUUUUGUUAGAUAUGGAUGACGUUGGCAAGGAGAUUAACAAGGAGAUUGACGGUCCAUAGAGUUUACAAGUUGAAGUGGGAGGAAUCUAUGAGUCAUCUUGAAGGUUUUUUCCCCCACCUCACUAUUUUAUCUAUUUCUUUGCAAGAUGGGAGAUUUCUCUUUCUUCCCCAUAUAUAAAAACGUACAUUUGCUUUUGUUCAUGGGUUGUGUGCCGUAUUGGGAGAUCAUGAGCAUGUGCGGAGGUGGUGGAUGUGGUGUGGGGUGUGAGGAACAAGGUAAUGGCGUGUCGGCUAGCUCAAAAGGUGUCGUCGCAUCACGAAAGAUAAUUGAAGUAGCCUCAAUUGGAACUUGGUUUUGCUGUCCCUUGUUCUAUCUCUUUCUCUUUGCUUUUUUUCUUUCCCUUUUGCUCAUUUUAUUAUUGUUUUCAUUAUUUUCUUUCGAAAGAAUUCAUGGUGGAUAAUGAGCUUGAGAGGGAGGACUAAUGCAAAAGAAAUUCGUCUAUUAUUCAUCUAUUAAUUAUUGUUUUAGUUUUUGGAGAUUGGAACUUGGAAUUUUAGAGCUCAAAACUUCCGGACCGGCGGUCCGGGAAACCAAAAUUGUUUCGCUCUUGAAAACCAGAAUUUUUGGCGUCAAAAUCGGUUCCAUGGAUCCACCCGGGAACCGGACCGGACCGGCAGUCCGGUUCCCGGGUGGAUCCUGGUUCCGAUUUUUUGGAACCGGUCCUUAGCGGGCGGUUCCCGGUUCUAGGUCGGGAACCGCCCGCCCGGACCAUGCACACCCCUAGGUGUCGGGCCGAGUGCCACAUGAACAAAUUCUUGACAGCAAUAGGAAUGAGCUUUUGCUGACGUUCAAAGCCUGAGCAUGAAGAGAAACAAAAGAUCCCGGACUCCUGAAGAGCUACGGACUUCUUUUGGUAAGCCUCAGAUUGCUAACAAAAUUGAGGAUUAGCCAUCGAAAUCUAAAAACCGUUCCCCUCUUAAAGAAAAUGUAAUCACAACAUCUCAAUUUAGAAGUUGAUGCACCCAAUGAUAGAUGCGUACGAAUAUUCCAAAGAGCUUACAAUAAAACACAACACCUAGUUACUACCGGGUACAAUGGAAAAGAACAUUCAACAUUCAAAGCCCGAGAUUAAUCCCAAGAAGCAACAGACUUUGAUCCCAUCACAUGAAGUCCAAACAACAUAACAAAUAAAUUCAAGCAUUCGGUAGUAUUCUAUUGACACUGGCAGCUUCUAUUGAUUGUAGUACUUCCACGACUUCAGACAUGGACGGGCGCAGCUUACGAGUUAGAUUGAGGCAUAUUAAAGCUAGUUGUGCUAUUUGGAAUGCAAAUUCUUCACAAUGUUCACCCUUCAAUCUCGAGUCCAUUAUAGUACUCAGUUUUCCCUCACUGUGUAAGUGUGGUAGGGCCCACUUCACUAAAGUAGCCAGGCCCAUUGGAGACCGUGGGUUACGCGCCCUCAAACCUGUUAGUAUCUCAAGCAGCACAACGCCGAAACUAUAAACAUCACUCUUUACAGUGAGAUGUCCUGUAAAAUCCAAGAGUCAUAUGUGAUGUUGCAGCGAAACGUGGGAAAAUAAAUAACUUCCCCAUAUUACUCUCAAAAUUCAAGAUCGCGCAAUAGUCAGCACUAAGUCACCAAAAAGCACUUUACAAUGGAAAAAUUACCGGUUGUUUUGUAUUCAGGGGCAGCAUAGCCAUCGGUACCAAUAAACUGUGUUGAAACAUGUGUCUUGUCGUCUAGAGGACCAGACCUCACCAAUCCAAAGUCCGAGAGUUUGGCCGUGUAAGACUGCAGAAGAACCGGACAGUGGAUUAGACUCGGUUUCCAGCCUAACUAUCAAUUGCAAACUCUAGUAAAUCUAGCAAAAAACAAAAUGGAGAUAUCUAAAAGCAACUGGGGACUGGUUAAGGGUCUUGUCUCGGGUUCUGAACUCAACAUCAAAUCUAAGAAUGAUAAAUUUGCAAUCGACUAUAACCCGUCCAUCAGUUGAGCAAAGGCAAACAUAGGAUCUCCGCUCGCUAUUAUGACUCUUUUCUCAUGGUUAGAGGACAAAAUAUCAAGUCUUCAAAGGGAGAUACGAGGCAUUUUAACGUUAUCAUUAUCCUUCUCCAAAGAAUUUGACUAGAAUGAUAAUAGAUUUCAUAUGAAUUUUGUGAUACAGGACCAUAAUCAUUAUAAGAAGGAUAAAUAAUAACCCCAUCUAGCAAAUAUUUGCACUUUUAAAAUCCCUGUGUAUCACGUUAGAACUGUGCAAGAAGGCCAAGCCUUUGGCAGCUCCUACCGCAAUCUUGAGGCGUACAUCCCAUGAAAGAUGAUCUGUAGAGCCCUCUGUACCAGAGUAAUGACAAUGUAAAAUGUAAGUAAUUCUUAAAAAGCAAAUACGUGUUCAAACCAGCCUGAAAUUUGAAAUUAGCACAUACAUCGACUAUGACUAUAAACUGAUCAAGAAGAUAUGGUAAACAAUUGGCAUCCUUAAGGAGACUUUUCCGAAAUUUACUGAGUGGUUACCACUUACUUCCGAAUAGCUGGUUUUCCAAACUGCCCAUUGGCAUGAACUCAUAAACAAGAGCUAAAUUUUCAUCGUCGUGACAAAAUCCCAGGAGAAUGAUAAGGUUAGGGUGAGAUAUCCUUCCAAUAAAGGCUAUCUUGCUCUGCACGAAAAUAAGCAAAAGAGUCUCACGCGUGGUCAGUAGUAAAAGAUAUGAAAGAAAUGGAAGCCCCCACACUAAACCAGGUAGAUGUUUUUCUCCUUAAGCUUCAAAUGGUCAAAGAAACGAAACAAUCACAACGGAAUAGUUGAUAUCGAAACAAAAGGUACAUAAUGGGAACUAACACCUAAUUUCCAAUGAAAUGUUCAGUUUAACUAGUAGUUUGUAGGGGUGAGCAUCGGUCCAAGGUCAACCCUGGACCGACCCUGGAUCGGUCCAACCUUGCCGGUCCUGGUCUGAUUCCCAAGGAGACUGGGUCGGUCAUUGAUCCUAGAAUUCCUGAACUAGCACUGUGCAGGUCGAUCCUCGAUCCUGAGAGUUCAGGUCGGUCCAACCUUGACUAUAUAUAUAUAUAUAUAUAUAUAUAGAAAACCUUAAAAUAAACGGCAUCAACAUUAAACAACUCUUUAGUGAGGAGUUCAAGUAAUUUUAAAUUUUUUCUUUAAUAACUUAGGUUUUUAAUGUUUUUUACGAUGUCAAUAGUCAUAAUUUACGAAGGAGGAAAAUAUUUUUGUGAGAAGUCCUCAUGACGUUCAAAAAGGCACCUUAUGGCAUCCUCCUUUAGUCUUCGUUCUCUUCUAUCUUAUUUGUCCCCUUAGUCUUCAAUUUUCAAAAAUCGAAAAAAAAAAUUCUACACUCGCCACUCAACGCUUGCCUCACUCGCUUUAGGUCACUCGUGCCUCUCGCCGCUCAAUGCUUGCUUGGUUUAUUGCUCCCUGCUUGACAUUCGAUACUCAUUCUGUUCGACACUCAUUCCACUCGACCCUCACUGCUUGCCUUUCUUAACUGACCUCACUCAUCAUUAAACCCAUUGAGUCAUACGAUCCCCGGUUGCCCUUUUCAAUAAGUACAAAAAAUGAAAUAAAAAAUUAUUUGUUGGUCUUGGGUUGACCUUAAAAUCAGAUCGAACCCAUUGGGUUAGUUCGGUCCUCAAUCGCUUUUUUAAGGAGUACAAAAAAUGAAAUAAAAAAUUAUCAGUUCGUUCGGGGUUGACCCUGGAAUCGGACCGAACCCAUUUGGUCGAUCCGGUCCUCGGUCCCAAGCCCAAUAAGGUCAAUCCUCGAUCCCAAAAAUUGAGAACCAGUACUGUGCGGGUUGGUCUUAGGGUUAAGGAGUGGACCGGCUCAAUCCAGACCAUACUCACCCCUAGUAAUUUGAUUGAAGACUCAUGGUCAUUGUACAUCCUGUAAUAUAAAAUACAUAUCAAUAUUUGGUAAAAUGUACUCAAGUCAUACCAGCACUGUAGAAAAUAUCUAGUUUGCAUGAACCAGUAGUAGCUAUGUAGAAUCAUUGGAAUUUGCGACUGAAAACCGUUUAUUAUUUGCGACCAAACUGAUGACUUUAUCUUGCAGUGGUGUGUCCACCCUAUAUGGUUUGAUCAACCUUGCAAUUUCUUUCAGUUCUUGAAUAUAGAAGCAGAAUUCGCUCGAAGGAAAAAGAAAACAAGUUCACUAUGAAAAGAACCGCAUUGCAUUAGUCAAAGAAGGUUAGAAAGAUGAAGUUGCCUAGGGGCUAUGAUCACAUUGAAAAGGUUGAUCAUUACAUGGAUGGAAGACUCUGAACUUAUAUUUGCGCAAUUUCUUCAUUCCUUGCAAUCGAAUCGCACUUACUAGGUUCUUCCAAUAGUUAGCAUCAUACAAGCCAAUGGCUACACACUCGCGCGGCAUGGGUUUACUAAGUCAAUUACAAAAUAUAAGAAAUGCAAAAAGAAAGUUCAUCACCGCUAACUAAAUGGAGCCCUAAAAUGUAUUUUGCCGAGGACCAUAGUCACCAAAUAAUCUCAAGAACAAAACCAAAAGCGUAUUUUCAAUUGUAAAUAAAUCGUUGAUCUUUCCUUUCUAUCGGAAUGAUUGAAGCAAAAUCGCUUCUUAGAUUCUUAUUUUACUUCAUUUAAAUCCAAAUAAUGCGCAUUAUCUCCACUCAAGUGGGGGGUUAGAUAACUGAAAACUUCACGAGGAUCGUGAACAUACGUUUAGGUAAUAUCACCACACAAUUAACACUACUCAGUCGGGCACCAACAAUAGUGUUGCUACGCCCACUGCAUCAUUUGCACCUACAUGCGAUAAGCAUCAUGACUCUCAGAAUUAUCUGAUCUCUCUAUAACCAAAAUCAGAUGCAAUCCUACAAGCGCCCUUUCAGAAACAAAAUUGGAAGGCAAGGCCACCGCUUAUAGAAAUCCUGGGAUAAUCAACUUCAAAUACAUUUGGAUUUGCGUUUAUAUAGCCAUAUAAAUUCAGGUUGUCUAGUAUUUCUGCUUCUACCAUUUUCACAACGAGGAGAUUUAUUGACAUAACUAAGUUGGGUAUGAUAAGCUCCCAUCAGUAAAAGUACCAAAAAAGUCUUAAACCUAUUUAUUGGUACCAAUACAGCCUUAAAUCUUUCAAUUAGACCAAUUUAUUUCUAAAUCUUUUCACAUUAGUAUCAAUUCAAUCCAUCCAGCUAAUUUGGGCCAGAAAUCAGUGCGUAGACACUAGCGAUCGUACGUUGCAUCGCCAGCACUAACGUGAACAUUUUAAAAAUAUUAUUUAUUAAAUUAUUUAUUUAUAUUUAUAUUUUUUUUCCUUUUUUCUUAUUGUUCCUUUUUUUUCUUUCCUUUUUUUUUUUUUCCUUUCUUUGGACUGUGACCGGUACCAGCCAUGAUCGGCGACGACUGGCCACAGCAAGGGCUGGCAAGGGUGUCAUGGCCCUCACUGGCCACGGGCGAGGGUGAGACCCUUGCGGCCCUCACCAAGUCUGGCAAGGGCUCGACCCUCACCGGAUCUAGCGACGGUGAGACCCUCGCAACCUGGGCGAGGGUGGCUCUUGCCUAACUCGGUGGGGGCGGCAAGGGCUCAAUGCCCUCAUCAGCCCCCACUUGUGGCCGAUCGCCGACAAUGGCCAAUACCGGCCACAGUCCAAAGAAAGGAAAAAAAAUUACUAAAAAAUUAUUUUAAAAUGUUGACAUCAGCAUCGGCGAUACAUAGGAUCAUCGGCAUCCAUGUCACAUAUUUCCGGCCUAAAUUGCCGGAUGAACUGUUGGUACCAAUCUAAAAAUGUUUAUGACUAAAUUGGUCAAAUUGACAGGUUUUGGACUGAAUUAGUACUAAUGCAAUAAAUUUAGAACUUUUUAGGUACUUAUCCCAGCUCCCAUUAGUACCAUCAUGCAUUUGGGUUGCUUCAUUUUCGUAAUUGACAAAGCAAAGUACUUAUAUUCCGAGAAAGGAAUUGAAGACGACUUAGUUCUUACCAGCCACUCUCUAUACCCUUGAGCACCAUCCGGGUUUAAUAUUUUCACAGCUAUUAUAGUUUCUGUCCUUCCAGACUGUUGCUUCCCAUGAAGCGUCCCUCUAUAGACAACCAAAUCCUCCCUCUCCAAGCAGCGCAUCGGCUCGAAAAUUUUUGGUUGCCUCUUUCAACUCUGCGAAACUGAAGACGGUCAAGCUGGGGUCUGCCUCAAUCUUUCCAUCUCCGAAGGCCUUUUUGUCGCGGGCAGCUAGCAAGUCAUGGCUAUUGCUGGCUGCAGGAGAUAUGAAGUUGUGAUUUUCCACUUCGAUCCUGUAGUUUCAAAAAAGAAAAACAAAGAACACAGAAAAUUGCUUCAGACGAUAACAAGAAGAACAUUAACGACUCCGAUCUGAAGCACAAAGAUUCAUUUUAUAGAGACUACAUAGAUGUAAAGAUAAAGAUCACUUUAGGAAAAAAAUUGAAGGGUACCCGAUUUGAGAUGACCAGCAUAGCUAGGAGUAGGGAAGUCAGGGGUACCAAAGCACACCCCCAUCUCUCUCUCUCUCAACGGGCUGGAGCUUCCAUGUCGCACACGACACGUAUCGACGUGUCAGACAUGCGGUCAAUACGUGUCGAAUUUUCCGACACAUGUUCAACUCUUCUCGACAUGUUCCGACACAUGUAUCCAAUAGAGAGGAUCAUUGAAGAAGACCAUGGAGGGUGGAGGCGAGGCGAAGGAGCGGAGGCAAGGCUGUGACGGUAAGGGAGUGGCACAGAAAGUGCAAAGAUUGAGCCACGACUGUGAUGGAAGGCCAGAGGCGAGGCGAUGAGUGAUUGUGAUGAGGCGACGGAGAGAGAACAGAGAUCGAGAGAGAGAGGGUCGCGCGAGGAGGAGGAGGCAGAGGGUUUAGAGGGACGAAACUCAAAAAGUUAAAAUGGGAUUUGAUGGGACUUUGGCGUGAUCCUUUCUUUCUAGAGGGAAGGGAAGUGCAUUGGACAAGAGGUCAAUUUUGAAGAAAGAAGUGACAAGUUAAGGAGUACAGGGAGAAGAAACGGGGGGAAAAUUGAGAAACAGGGAAGUGGAAUAAAUUUGGGGGUGGACCCCGAGGGACUUUUUUAUCAAAAAAAUAGAUAAGAAGACUACGAAAUCAUUUCAAAAAAUAGAAGUAUUGAAUGUUGAAUAAUUAUAAAUAAAAAAUCAUUAAAAAAUAGAUUUAUUUAAAUAAGUUAAUUUUAAUUUGUUUUUUUUUUUGUAAUAGGUAAAAUGUAUUAUAACUUUUAACCAAGGAGCUACACAAAGGCACAGCAAAAGAACCGACUCCAAAAACAUACACUUAGCUACACAAAGGUAAUUUUAAUUUGUUGUUAGUCAUUAGUUUUAUCAAUAAUUUUUACUAGAGUUAGAAACAUAUCCACAAACAUGAAUACACAUUAUUUAUGAAUAUCUUUCGAAUUUCUUAUAAAUAAAUUUAUUAAUAUUAUUAAUAUAAAUUUAUUGUAAUCUCUUUUUUAUUAUUUAUUUAAUUAUAAAACUAAAUUAAAUUAAUUAAAAAAUAAAAAUAUUAUAUUUAAUAUAUAAUAUAUCUCAACAUGUUAAAAUUUUUUAUUUUUAAAUAAUAAUUUAUUGGCAUAUCAUAACGUGUUUUUUCUUCUCCCUUGCCUUUACAAAGUCUCAUUUCUUCGGAAGUUGAGGCAAUUGACUUUUUUUCCGUACAGACAUGGCAAAUCACCCAAACGCGCUCGAUGCUGACAUUUUCUGGCCCGUCAUUAACUCUCUGCGGAAAGUCAAAGCUGGCUCCGCACGUCGUUUUCACACUAGUUGAUUUUCUUGUUUUUCCAUGGCAGAUCCCACGAAUUUCCACAGCAAAUCCCCUCUCAGUGGAAAGUCAAAUUUCCACAAAUUUCCACACUCGGGGGACUUUUAUAUGUAGGAAAAAUGCUGAUAAGAACAAAUAAAUUUGUUUGAAGCGUGCAAACGUAAGCACUGUCCUUAAGGAUAAUUCCGCCCCUCGGAGUGCGAAACUCGGUGAUAGGCUUCUGACGGCUAUCCUCCCAAGAUACAACAGACCUUCUUCUAUAUUCCGCACUGAAUAUUAGAAGGAACAGAAACAACAUCUGUAUAUAACCCAGCAUGAAAAAGGAAAGGAAAGAUUUCAAAAAGAAAGAAUAUUCUUUGUUUCAUUCGGUGUGUAUUUUUAAGAUUGUCUUAUGAGAUUUUAUAUUCAGACAAAAUAGAGCCGUUAAAAGAGCUAUUGUAAAAUAAUGAAGAAUUUAUUUGAGAAAUAAAUUAAAUGUUACAAACGGUUGAAAAGCCAUUAUAUGACCAUUAAAAAACCGUUAUGUGACCGUUAAAAAUAAUAAUAGUCUUCAAUGUGGUCAUAACUAUUAUUGAAGUUAUUAUUGUUAUUUCAAAAUAUUAUUGAAAUAUCCAACAAUCCCCCACAUAUUUCAAAAGAUUUUAAAAAUAAAAUUAACAUGAUGCUUGGUUAUUGGAGUGUAAUGCAUCGGAACUGGUGCUUGUUAGGCUAUGAACCAGCCCUAUAAAAAAUGAAAUAUAAUUCACGAAAUUAUUAGUGAAGUUUGAAACUUCUAUGAACCAAAAAUUUCUUUUGUGAAUUAUAAUUUUCACCAAUCACAUUGCACUCCCACAAACUUUGUUGUUCAACGCGGUUUUGCGCUAAUAGGCCAUGCGUGUGCUUGGUUUAUUCAUAAGUGCUUUAGAAAUUUUCACCAAAAAUUCUCAUAGGAGUGGCCCCACUCCACACUUAUAUAGGUGAUUCCAUCAAGUGUAUUAUGCAGCUUAAUACACCACCAAUAAUGGCUAUGGAAUUUCAUUAAGAGCUUAGCUCAACCUCUUUUUUCCUUGCAGUUUUGCACCAUUCUCAUUUUAGGAUGGAUAAUAAUUUUUAAUAGUGCAUCACUAGAACAACAAGUGACUUGUUAUUACCCAUAUGAACCUAAUUCAUGGGAUUGCCAAUCACAUAGGUUGGGUUACCAUCACUGUUACUUUUCCUCAAUUGGCUUAAGUCACAUUCCCCUCGAUGUGUCAUAAAUUAAUUUUCUUCCCACAGGUUUACUCAGAAGAUCGGCUAAAUUCACUUCUGAAUUUACAAAAUCGAUAGAUAUAAUUCCAUCUUUAAGCAGCUACUUUACUACAUCAUGUCUCAGUCGGAUGUGUCUAUUUUUACCAUUGAAAUUGUUAUUCUUUGCUAUGGCUAUUGCCGCUUGGCAAUCAUAGUGCAUAGACACAGAAAGGUGUCGGUUUCAUUCCCAAAGAAAUAUCCGCUAAGAGGUUCCUUAACCACUCACUCUAGAGCCACAAACUCUAACUCCAUGGUGGAUUUAGCAAUUAUUGUUUGUUUGGCUGACUUCCAAGUUACAGCACCUCCACCAAAGGUAAACACAUAUCCACUAGUGGAUUUUGUCUCAUCUGAAUCUGAAAUCCAAUUAGCAUCACUGUAUCCUUCUAAUACAGCGGGAAAUCCACUAUAUAAGAUGCCAUAAUUCAUGGUUCCUCUCAAAUAUUUCAUUAAUCUAUUCAAAGCAGUCCAGUGAUAUUUGUGUAUAUCUGCUCAAUCUACAUACAACAUAAGCUAUAUCAGGUCGAGUAUAAUUCAUCAAAUGCAUCAAACCCCCAAUAAUUUGAGCAUACUUAGACUAAGUCACACCAUCUCCUUUAUUUUUCAUUAAUUGGAUAUUAGAAUCAUAAGGAGUAUUCACAGGUUUAACAUCAAAGUGAUCAUAUUUUUUAAGUAGCCUCUCCACAUAAUACGCUUGAGUAAGCAUUAGGCCACUAUCACUCUUUAUGAUUCUAACACCCAAAAUAAUAUUAGCUUCCCCCAAGUCCUUUAUAUGGAAUUUAGAAGUUAAAAAACAUUUUGUUUCAUUCACUACAUCAAUACAUGUACCAAAAAUAAGCAUGUCAUCAACAUAUAAGCUAAUAAUUACAAAUUCACCAUCAAUAGUUUUUGUGUAUACACAUUUAUCUACUCCAAUAGAGAAAAAUCCAUUACUAACUAGAACAUCAUUAAUUUCUCAUACCAUUGCUUUGGCGCUUGCUUUAAGCCGUAUAAAGAUUUAACAAGUUUACAAACUUUAUUUUCUUGGCCAGGAAAAAUACAGCCCUCAGGUUGCACCAUGUAAAUUUCCUCUUCCAAAUCACCAUUUAAAAAAGCUGUUUUAACAUCCAUUUGGUGAAUAAUAAGUUUGUAAAUAGAAGUCAAAGCAAUUAAAACACGAAUUGAUGAAAUUCUUGUAACUGGAGCAAAAGUGUCAAAAAAAUCAAAAUUUUAUUUUUGAGUAAAACCUUUUGCAACUAAUCUUGCUUUAUAUUUAUCAAUAGAACCAUCAGGAUUAUAUUUUCUUUUAAAAAUCCAUUUACAACCGAUCAGUUUCGCACCGAAUGGUAAAUCAACUAAUUUCCAAGUUUGAUUUUGUAAGAUAGAAUCAAUCUCGAUUUUUAUAGCUUCUUUCCAAAAAUUGCUUUCUGAUGAAGAUAUUGCUUCAGAAUAAGUCAAAGGAUCAUUAUCAAUAAGAUAAGUAUAAAAAUCAUUCCAAAAAAAAGUUUCUUUCCUUAUUCUUUUGCUCCUUCUCAAUUCGUCAUUUGAAUUUUUGAAAGACGGUACUUGUCAGUUCUGUUUGAGAUCUUUCGCANNNNNNNNNNNNNNNNNNNNNNNNNNNNNNNNNNNNNNNNNNNNNNNNNNNNNNNNNNNNNNNNNNNNNNNNNNNNNNNNNNNNNNNNNNNNNNNNNNNNUUUUUCAUUUGCAUUGGCUAUAACCCGUCCAUCAGUUGAGCAGAGGGAAACAUAGGAUCUCCUAUCGCUAUUAUGACUCUUUUCUCCCAUUUAGAGGACAAAAGAUCAAGUCAUCAAAGUGAGAUACUAGGCUUUUCAUCGUCAUCAUUAUCCUUCUCCCAAGAAUUUGACUAGAAUGAUAAUAGAGUUCAUAUGAAUUUUGUGAUACAAGACCAUAAUAAUUAUAAGGAGGAUUAAAUAAUAACCUGAUCUAGCAAAAUAUUUGCAGGUUUGAUAUCCCUGUGUAUCAUGUUACAGGAACUGUGCAAGAAGGCCAGGCCUCGGGCAGCCCCGACCAUAACCUUGAGGCGUACAUUCCAUGGAAGACUUCCAGCGGAGCCCCCUGUACCAGAGUAAUGGACAGUUUAAAACGCGAGUCAUGCUUCAAUGCAAGUACAUGUUCAAACCAGCCUGAAUUUUGAAAUUAGCACAAGCAUCGACUAUAACUAUCAACUGAUCAAGCGGAUAUGCUAAACAAUGGGCAUCCUUAAGGAGACUUUUCCGAAAUUUACAAAGUGAUUAGACCACGUACUUCUGAAUAGCUGGUUUUCCAGACUGCCCAUUGGCAUGAACUCAUAAACAAGAGCUAAAUUUUGAUCGUCGUGACAAUAUCCUAGGAGCUUGGCAAGGUUAGGGUGAGAUAUCUUUUCAAUAAAGGCUAUCUCCCUCUGCACAAAAAUAAGCAAAAGAGUCUCACACAUGGUCAAUAGUGAAAGAUAUGAAAGAAAUGGAAGCCCCCACACUAAACCAGGUAGAUGUUUCUCUCCUUAAGCUUCAAAUGGUCAAAGAAAUGAAACAAUCACGAUGGAAUAGUUGAUAUCGAAACAAAAGGUAUAGAAUGGGAACUGAGACCUAAUUUCCAAAGAAAUAUUCAGUUUAACUAGUAGUUUGACUGAAGACUCAUGGUCAUUGUGCAUCAUGUAAUAUAAAAUACAUAUCAAUAUUGGUAAAAUGUACUUCAAGUCAUUCUAGCUUUGUAGAAAAAAUCUAGCUCGCCAUGAACCAGUAGUAGCGAUGCAGAAUCAUUGGAAUUUGUAACUGAAACCAUUUAUAAUUUGCGAUCAAACUGGUGACUUUAUGUUGUAGUGGCGUAUCCACCCUAUAUGGUUUUAUAAGCCUUGCAAUUUGUUUCAGUUCUUGAAUAUAUAAGGAGAAUUCGCUCGAAGGAAGAAGAAAACAAGUUCACUAUGAAAAGAACCGCUUUGCAUUAGUCAAAGAAGGUUGGAAAGACGAGUUGCCUGAGGGCUAUGAUCACAUCGAAAAGGUUGAUCAUUACAUGGAUGGAAGACUUUGAACUUAUAUUUGCGCAAUUUCUUCAUUCCUUGCAAUCGAAUUACACUUAGUAGCUUCUUCCAAUGGUUAGCAUCAUACAAGCCAAUGGCCACACACACUCCAUGACAUGGGUUUACUAAGUCAAUUACAAAAUAAAAGAAAUGCAAAAAAUAAAGUUCAUGACCGUUAACUAAAUGGAGCCCUAAAAUCUAUUUUGCUGAGGACCUUAGUGACCAAAUAAUCUCAAGAACAAAAUCACUUCUCAGAUUCUUCUUUUACUUCGUUUAAAUUCAAAUAAUGCACAUUGUAUACACUAAAGUGGGGGGUUAGAUAACUGCAAACUUCACGAGGAUCUUGAACAUACGUUUAGGUAAUAUCACCAAACAAUUAACGCUACUCAGUCACGCACAAACAAUAGUGUUGUCUGCUGCAUUGCACCCCAGCAAAGCCGAUGAGGCCGUCAAUGAACUCUCAGAAAUAUCUGAUCUCUCUAUAACCAAAAUCAGAUGCAACCCACAAGGGUCCUUUCAGAAACAAAACUAAAAGGCCAGGCGACCACUUAAAGAAAUGCUGGGAUAAUCAACUUCAAAUACAUUUGGAUUUGCGUUUACAUAGCCAUCAUAAUUCAGAUUGUCCAGUAUUUCUCCUGCUAUUUUCACAACGAGGGUGUUUAUUGACACAGUUGAGUUGGGCAUGACAAGCUCCCAUCAGUACCAUCAUGCAUUUGGGUUACUUCGGUUUUGUAAUUGACAAAACAAAGUACUUGUACUCCGAGAAAGGAAUUGAAGACGACUUAGUUCUUACCUGCCACUCUCUAUACCCUCGAGUGCCGCCCUGGUUUAAUAUUUUCACAGCUAUUAUAGUCCAUGUAUUUCCAGACUGUUGCUUCCCAUGAAGCAUCCCUUUAUAGACACGACCAAAUCCUCCCUCUCCAAGCAGCGCAUUGUCCGGAAAAUUUUUGGUCGCCUCAUUCAACUCUGCGAAACUGAAGAUGGUCAAGCCGCGGUCUGCCUCAAUCUUUCCAUCUCCGAAGGCCUUUUUGUCGCGGGCAGCCAGCAAGUCAUGGCUAUUGCUGGCUGCAGAAGAUGAGGAAGUAGCGUGGGCAGCCGGCAAAUUGUUGCUGGCUGCAGAAGAUGAUGAAUUAGUGACUUCCCACUUCGCUCCUGUAGUUUCAAAAACGGAAAGCAAAGGAACAGAGAAAAUUGCUUCAGAUGACAACAAGAAGAACAUUAAAGACGCCAAUCUGAAGCACAAAGUCUAAUUUUAUAGACUACAUAGAUGUACAGACAAGGAUAAAUGUAGGAAAAAUUUAAAGAGUACCUGAUUUGAGAUGACCAGUAUAGCUAGGAGUAGGGAAGUCAGGAGUACCAAAACACACCCCCAUCUCUCUCUGUCUCUCUCAACAAGAACUUCUGUCUUUUCGCUACCUCGCCUCCUCCAACUCCAAAUCUUGUUUGCUCUGGAGAGGUGAAAACACCUAAAAAGGCUCUCGCUGCUGACAUUUUCUGUCAUUUUCCACACCAGUUGAUUUUCUUAAUGCCCAAAGCAGGUCCCACAAUUCCAACGCGUUCAUAUAUUGACCUCCGAGAGACUUUUACCGUAAUAUUUGACGUUUCAAAGGUGGUGGGACCCACACGAAAAAAUAAAUAAAGAAAAAGGAGAAGGAAAGCAGAAAUAGGGCACGCCCGGUUUUAAAACAAACUCCAUUCAGUAGAAUUUAGAAAUCCAUAAAGUCGAUCGAGAAGAAGCUUCCUCUUCUUUUCUGCCGACUCUGCCCUGCUUACGCCGGAAUAAAAAGUCUAUCCUUUUUUCAUCAGAGUCGACCAAUUUGGAAAGAUCAUGCAAAUCAUUUGGUGGAGAUGUCAAAUGUCUGUGGAAGGGAUUUACACCGCACUCCGCGUUAAUUCUGUUCUCUUAGGUAUCUUUCUUCGCAAUCCGACAACCGAGCCAGAGUCCUUCAUGGAACUAGUUUGCUGCCAGCUUAGCUGGCAAAUAGUCCUUAUGAAGCCAAGAGGGGAAUUGAUUCCAUCAUCCGCUUUCGUGCGCUUAAGUCAGGUUUUUGCUUUCUUGCAGUGUAUCCAUCCAUUCACAAACAUUCCCAAAGCAGCAGCACAAAAUGAUGUUGUAUUAUUAGGACCAAAAAAAAUUAUUUCAUUUCCAAGACACUGUUGGAGUCAACACCUAAUAUAAUAAUGAAAGUCCAUUAUGCAUAUGCAUGAAGUCUGGACGUGAGGCGGUGAAUAAGAAGAAACUCGUACGUGGGCAGCAAGCGUACACAUGAAGGAAUAGAUGGGCACAUAUUAAAAUAAUAGUAUAAUUGUUACUGGAGCCUUCAAGGAGCAAGAAGCAAAGUUCAACUUUGUUAGUACUUGGACGUGAAGGAAAAGAAGACAGCCCACAAUUUUUGACUGCCAAGAAGAAAAGCUCAACUUCAAUUCUGCACGUUGAAGAUAAUGGCGGUGAAGUGCUUAUAAAUAUAGGGUUACGUUAGUUUAUUUAGUGAGAGAGUGAGAUUUAAGAGAGAGUUAUAAGCUUAGCAAAGCUUGUGUGUGUCUUGUGUGUGUACUCCAUUAAGCCUUUACAAGGCAUAUUGUGUAAUAUAAUCUCUCUUUGUGUGUUUACACUCUCUCCCUCCAAAUCCUUUUGGUUCCAACAGACACAAUCAAUUUCCUUUCCCAAUUUCAUAGACGGCAAGAGAUUAAGGGAAAACCAGCUCUAAUCUUAGGUUCCCACGAAACAUUCGGACAGUUUGGCCGAGCAGCUUUCUUAACCGCCGACAUGAAGGCGACGGGCUUUUCUCUGAACGCCCUACAAAUCUAACUAUUUACCACCUUCGAAAUGCACGUCCUUUGCAAACCUUUGGUCGCUACACUUAAGACUUCCGAAGCUUUAGACCUAGACAGCUUCCACAUAAACAAGCCACUUCCAGGCACGCUGCUAGACCGAUGGAAAGCAACUUUCAAGCCACAAUUUUCGUAGCCUACAUGAUUCCCUGCAAUUAGCCAGGGACCCUUAAAAAGUACCGUCAUUGGCCAUUAAUUCCAAAAUGCACUCUCAGAAGCUCGGAAACUUCCAGGCAAAGAUGAUGUGAUUAAGCUGAGCUUUUUCUUUCAUCAUGCCAUAGAAAGCUGUCUUGAUCAACAUUGCCUGAACCACCUGUUCUAAAUUGAAUAAAGAUGUAGAGUUGAGCCUAGGAAUCAUCAUCAGCCAUGCACUGGUGUGGUCAAAAAGAAAUUGCAGGAGAAACCGACUGCUAAAUUCAUGAACUCAAAAUUGAACACACUAAGGGAGUAUGAUGUCAUGCACAUACCUACUAAGUUGUUAGACGACCAAUAAGCUUGAUGGAAAAGCAGGUACUCAUUCAAAACUAUCCUUAACAAAGUAUGGAAUGUGCCCAUCGAGCUUAGCUGACAUCCCUCUCAGAUACACAACAGCAUUAAUUAAAGAACCCCGCUUAAUACCCAUCGUUGGCCCCAUAUACUGAGCCAUAAGCUCCCCCAUGCGCAGUGAGUCCUGGGUUCGAUGCCGGAGAUGCAUAAACAGAACCGUGAGCUCCAUAAGAAUUAUAACCUUGGUCCAUGUGCCCAGCUGCUGGUGCCUGCGAUGGUGCUGCUGCUGCCUCCGCUAUAAAAUUCUGCAAAAUGGAUAUGUUUUUUGGCGUUAAAGUGCAGAAGCCUACAUCAAAUGGUCAUAAGGAAAUGCAACAACAUCGUCCAUCUCUCCUCAGUUGAACCACUAUAAUAACUGUCUACCAAAAGAUAGAAUGUACGUGACAGUAGAGGCACUUUCUCUAGGAGGCCUCUUCGGCAUUUUCAAAUCCAAAAUUUAAAGCAAUUGCAAGACUAACGUAACUAAGUUGAUUCCAAAUCUAUAGAGACAUUAAAACUAAGACCCUGAAAAAUAAGUUGGGUAAAAGAAUAGUUGACUACUUCAAGAAAUUUAUAAUGUUUCAAGAAUGGUUUCGAAGCCAUAGAAGGGAAAAAUCUUCUGAGCCGAAUCAAAUAUGAAAGCAAUCGAGUGAUGGAUUUAACAUUUGAGUCAACUUGGUCAAUCCAGUUUUCAAUCUUAAUAAAAGAUUUUAAUGAUAAAAAUUGGGAAUCAAAUUGGUUUUUCAUGGUGGAAACAAACCAAUUCAAUUAGUGGGUCUAUUCUGAACUCCCCAAAAAAGUUAAUAAGUUUGUUAGCUCUCGAGGAAGUUUUGCACUAAAAAAGAACAAAUUAUCAGUGUUACUUAACAUUUCAUCCUCACUGGUAGUCCGGUACAAGUUUCAACAGCACAUAUGAUAUUCUCCAAUAUUUCAUAUUCAAGGGAGAAGAUGAUUCGAGAUCAUCAUUGUUAAGAUAAAUUUCAAUUUUUUUUCUCAAGUUUCUCAAUCAUCUCGACAUAUUUAUUUUUCUUAAGUCAUCUCGAGACAAAAAACCAACCUGUCCCAUUUCCGUCUCUCUUUUUUUCCUUACUUUGUAAGAUUCCUUUUGGGAAAUGGCACUAUAUGCUUCUCUAGGUUAAAGCUUCCACCUAACUUUCAACUCUUUCGCUCGCUCACUCACAUCCCAAGACCAGAUCCAAUGUACCCUUCAAAAGCGCCCAUACUCUUACCCAGGUUCAUUCGCCCCCAACUCUUUCCUCAUUUUCCUCCCUUCCCAUCACUCCAUAAUGCUCCUCCUCCUCCGCCGUUGCCAUUUAUCGAUGCCACCGUCAACCUUCCGAGGCAUCCGAGGGGUUGGCUUCUGGCACGCGCGCACCUUAGCAGGAGUAGUGCAGGUGAUUAGCUCCCUCUGGACUUUACUUCGUCCAUUUCCACAUGAAGUUAAAAAAACCACACGCUAGCAAGCAUUAGAUGGUCCUUCUUAUAAAAAAAAUUCUUGGAUUAUGUUUGAGAUUUUUACUAGGUCCGUAUUUUUUCUAGAAAUUAUGUCCUUUAUCAGUGUAAAGAAAUUUCUACACAUUCCGCGUUGGAUAGGGCAACAUGUGUAACAAUGCACUUUGAUAUUUAUCCAUGUAUUUUCAUACAAAUAAGUGCUGCAGAAUCAAAGGAGAACCAAUAUUUGAACUCUCAAUAAGUAUGUUUUGGCAAGACAUUAUCAAACGUCCAAACUUAGGUUAACAUUUUUCAACACAUUUAUUAGCCACUUUCUAAAAGAAUACUUUACGACAUUUGUAGUAGCCACGCUGGAACAAUUUAUAGACAUACCAUGCUCAAAACGACCAGCCCAUCGCAUCGACUUCUUUAUUUUUUAGAAGGGCUUCUUCGCCCUUUUCUUUUUUCACAUGGCUCGGACAAAUUGAAUCUUUCCAAGAAAAAAAAAGACAAAUAUAACUCUAUGGAUGGGCUGAGGUACAAAAAANNNNNNNNNNNNNNNNNNNNNNNNNNNNNNNNNNNNNNNNNNNNNNNNNNNNNNNNNNNNNNNNNNNNNNNNNNNNNNNNNNNNNNNNNNNNNNNNNNNNGAAACAUAGACCGUCGAGAUCGACCGCAGAGGGAUGAGCACGCGCUCAAAGGAUCGGGGCGUGACAAUAAUUGUCCGAGCAAUUGCCUCUAUGCCCCGGCCAACUAAGAGUAAGUUAUUUUUGCAGCACAAUAGACAUCUUAUAUGGAAAGUAACACAUAUUUAAGUUAGAUAGUCGUAGUCUUUUAGAGUGUGAAUGUUGCGCGCACAUGGUACAUCUACAUGACCACAGAAAAUGCCGAGGGUGGUCAAACCAUCAUUAAUACGGGCUAAAAUUUUCCCCUUUUGUCACGGACAAGGGCCGGGGGGGAUGUUAUAUAGUCUGUAAAGAGUGGCCAAAUGCAGAGCUGUGUCCAUCCGGCUCAUUUAUAACAUCCUCAAGGUUGGGUGUCUGCAGUAUGUACUUGACUACAAUUUUCUCUGCCACCUAUAUAACUGCAGCAUGAAUUACCAUUUGUCCUUUGUCAUUGAUUGAUAUCGAGACACAAUCUAACCAUCUCGGCAAUGACACCGAUGUGGUUCAGAAUGCAGCAGUAUGAAGAGUGGACUCCCCAUCUUUGUCUGAGAAAUUUUCUGCAGAAACGUAGGAUGCCGGAAUAGUUUAACUGCUUCAGCACUGCCAUAGUAAGCAACGUAAUGAAGAGGAGUCCAAAUGUCAUCUCCUUCUCUAAUCAUCAGGGUUCUUUCAUGCGAUGGUUUCUUCGCGGCAACCUUCCCAAAUCUCAAUUAAAUGAGGGUUGCAAGGUAUAUUAAGACUGUUUCAGACUCGAGAUUGACUCUUAUGAUGUGUUGUUUCCUCACUUCUUUUUACUGCAAUCUUAAGGGCAAUGCAGCAGCAUAUAUGGCGUGGUUAUCUCGACGAUUUUUUUCUAUCAUCCAUCUUUGCCUCUCUUAGAUAAACUGGUGCAAUUAAUAGAUACGUAAAACUAAACGCCAGAAGUUUUUGGCAGAGGAUUCCUCUAGUAUUCAUCAAGGGAAUCAUGCGCUCUUUCAUUCCUGAAAUUGGAGGCUGAGGCUCUAAUUGGAUGUCACAAAGUAUCAGGUCAAAAAAAAAUUUGAUGGAAACAUCACUCAAUGAAGGUCUUUGCAUUGCACCUCUGUUACUUCUCACCUCUCAAGUUUUCUCCUUUCCAUUUCAAUGGGAUUGCUGAUGCAGUUCAGCCUGGAAGCAUCCUAGAGCCAAGAGGUUAUUCAAUUUUUUACUGCUUGUGCAUGGUUAAUCUAAUUGUUUGCUUUCUUGAAGUAACCACACACGCAGAGGAUUAGUAAGAUUGGGGUAGAAAUCGUCCGCGCGGUUGACAAAGAUACGUUAGCAGAUUUACUUCUAUCCUUCCUUCUAUUUCUAGUCAGAAAGAGACACAGGUUCCCAUAAGUAAGAGUCUCGGGAUACUUACAGCGGGACCAAUCACAGCAGGACCAAUCAUAGUCUGCUGCCGCCCGCAAAGCACUCAUUCUGUAACAUCCCGGGCCCCACUGUGUGAUAUUGUCCGCUUUGGACACUGAGUCCUCACGGCUUUAAAACGCGUCACACAAAUUAAGGGACCCAAGCCUUAUAAACAAGGCCCAGGACUCCCCCCUAAGCGAUGUGGGACAAGAGGGAGAGGAUCCCUUCCUUGCGCAUGUCCGGGGACCGAGGCGCGGACGCACCACCAUCCCUCCUCCUCGCGCACCGCCGCUCGGGCCGACACACUCUCCCCCCCUUAACAGAACAGCGUCCUCGCUGUGGCCCCACACGCUACCUUGAGAUAUAUGUACAAAGUCACCCUUCAUCUUUGCUUGGAAUGACUUUGGGAAGAAUUGAGCAUUGAACGCCUUUUUAAAGUCCUCCCAUGAUAUAAUAACAUCCCUACCUCUUCGGGACCCUUACAAGAGGACAACGACAGGGAUGCAUCUAACAUCAGCCUAGUAAUUUGAUGAGCCCAUUGUGGAGUCGCCACGUAUAGUGGGGAUUCAUCGGCAGCAUUAAAAAUGUUACACAGUUUAUGAUCUUCGAACCAGCAAUUUCUCUGGCUGCAUAGUGCAGUGCAGCGUCCUUGUCCGAAUUUGCCAUUCGAAGAAUCUCUUUGCAUGUAUCAACUUGUCCUUAUUCAAAAACCUAAUGCAGUCGAUUUGCAAACGUAAUGGAGAGUUGUUUCAAAGCAUCUUACUUCAGCAGCAACGUGUAGGGGAGUGUCUCUUCUGUAGUUGCUUUGCCAAAGAAGGAAUGGUCGUGAUGGACAUUGAAUGUAAGAUAUGAUUAUAAAAAGAGGAAGAAGUCGAACUCCAAUAAAAAUGCCCGCUGCUACCGUAGAAGCGGCACGUAUGAGAGCCAAAAUGGGAGUAGGGCCUUCCAUGGCACUAGGUUACCAUACAUGAAGGAGGCAUUGUCCUGAUUUCCCAACUGCACCUCCAAAUUAAAGAAAGGCACAUAAAGUAAGAAAUAAUAAGGAAACCUCAUUAUUAUAAAUCAAGUUAUUGAUAUUUGUAACAAAUCCCUUUUUACCGCAAAGAUGUUGCGCAAAUGGGAUUUGAUCAAAAAUUCUCACUACUUCUUAUAUUUAUGGACCCCACGCCCCUAUGGCGAAAUUGGUAGACACGUUGCUCUUGCAACGCAAAAGAGCAUCUACGAUCAACUUUACAUCUUGUAUUAAGCAGCAACACAGAGCGUUGUUCUACUUGGGCGUUGUUUCGUGGAAAGGGAAAAAGGGAGAAUGUAAACCCAAUGCACGUGCUGAAAGAGCAUGCCUGCACAAGUUCAACCUUAGGAGACUUUGGAGGUAAAUCACAAUAUUCGAAUAAAGAGUACUAACUUGUCUUCUAUAAUUGAUUAAUUAUUGAGUGUUACUAUUUUCAAAUUAUGAUUGCGGACCACACAGUCAAGCUAUGGUCCAUAAAGGUAAGUUAUCGGUUACAAGUGAAAACAAGUUCCCGCCAUUAAAUAUAUACUAUGACUUAAAGUUAAAUUACGGCACCUGUUUUGGAUCCAAAAUGCACCCUUUUCAUGUCCAGUCCAAUAUAAGAUAGAAAUAUUAUAGAUAACAUUUUAAGAGAAUUUCAAUUCAACUUUAUCUAAUAUUAGCAUGUAAUCUUGCAAGAUUCGAUGAUACUUUCAUUCUCGAAAAAAAAAUGCAAUUUUUUAUAGAACUAGAAACUCGUUCAUACUUCACACGUAAGCAACAGUCCCUUAGCAUAGGCACAUGAUGAUAUGCAUUACGAUAAUCAGAAAUUGAUUAAGUUAACAUUAGUUAUGUGUCAAGAUUUCAGUUUCCAAAUCCCUAUAGAUCUUUGUAUACCAUGAUUUCUGUUUUUGAUACUGUAUCGUUGUUUCCAUGUUCGACAACCUGUAUCCAGAUUGAGCAUAUAUCAUUGUGCUCAAGUCCUGCCUCCAAUUUGUUAUCUAUGUUCCAGGAAACCAAGAAAAGAUAACGAAACAAUUGGACAUGUCUUGGCCGCAACAACAUAGCGCCAAAUCACAUGUCUUGUUCAAUUGGAAUCGACAACUAGGCAGCUCUUUACUUUAAAUGACUCGAUCAGUAACCCAACCUUGUCUCAGAGCUCAAAAAUAACAAGAAUGGAACGAACAGCAUAAUUCUUCCUGGAGAUUGGUGGCGGGCCGAGUGCCAUAUGAACAAAUUCACGACAGCAACAGGAAUGAGCUUCUACUGAUGUUUAAAGCCUCAGCAUGAAAGAAACAAAAGAGCUCGUACUCUUGAAGAGCUACGGACUUUUUUGGUAAACCUUAGAUUGCUAACAAAAUUAAGGAUUAGCCAUCAAAAAACAGUUCCCCUCUUAAAGAAAGUGUAAUCACAACGUCUCAAUUCGGAAGUUGAUGCACAUAAUGAUAGACACGUAUGAAUAUUCCAAAGAGCAUAAAAGAAGACACAACACUGGUAGCUACUGGGUACAAUCGAAAAGAAUAUUCAAAGCCCGUUUGUAAUCCUUGGAAGCAACAGACUUGGAUCCCAUCACAUGAAGUACAAACAACAUAACAAAUAAAUUCACACAUUCCGUAGUAUUCCUUUAGCACUGACCGCUGCUAUUGAUUCCAGUGUUUCCACGACUUCACACAUGGAAGGCCGGGACUUUGGAUUAGGUCUAAUGCAUAUAAUAGCUAGCUGUGCUAUCCGGCGUACAGAGCCCACACUAUAUUCGUCCCGCAAUCUCGUGUCAACUAGAGCCAACGGUUUUCUUUUACUGGAUAAGUAUAAUCUGGUCCUCUCCACUAAAUCAACUCUAUCUGCUGGACUGCUCAGAUCAAAUGCCCUGCUACCUGUUAGUAUCUCAAGCAACACGAUGCCGAAACUAUAAACAUCACUCUUUAUGGUGGGAUGCCCUGUAAAAUCCGAGAGUCUUAUGUGAUGUUGCAGCAAAGCAUCAGGAAAUAACUUUCCCAUAUUAUUGUCAAAAUUCAAGACCGAGCAUCAGUCAGCACUAAGUCACCAAUAAGCACUUUAAAACGGAAAAAUUACCAGUUGUUCUGUAUUCAGGGGCAGCAUAGCCAUAGGUACCGAUAAACUGUGUUGAAACAUGUGAAUUGUCUUCUGGAGGACCAGACCUCACCAAUCCAAAGUCCGAGAGUUUGGCCGUGUAAGACUGCAGAAGAAGCGGACAGUGGAUUAGACUCGGUUUCUAGCCUAAAUAUCAAUUACAAACUUCAGUAAAUCUAGCAAAAAACAAAAUGGAGAUAUCUAAAAGCAACUGGGGACUAGUUAAGGGUCUUGUCUUGGGUUCUGAACUUAACAUCAAAUCUAAGAAGGAUAGAUUUGCAAUCGACUACAACCCCUCUAUCAGUUGAGCACAGGGAAACAUAGGAUCUCUGCUCGCUGUUAUGACUCUUUUCUCCUGGUUAGAGGACAAAAUAUCAAGUCUUCAAAUUGAGAUACUAGGCAUGUCAUCACCAUCAUCAUCCUUCUCCCAAAAAUUUGACUAGAAUGAUAAAAAAGUUCAUAUGAAUUUUGUGGUACAGGAACAUAAUCAUUAUAGGGAGGAUAAAAUAAUAACCUCAUCUAGCAUAAUAUUUGCACUUUUGAAAUCCCUGUGUAUCAUAUUACAGGAAUUGUGCAAGAAGGCCAAGCCUCUGGCAGCCCCAACCGCAAUCUUGAGGCGUACAUCCCAUGAAAGAUGAUCAGCAGACACCUCUGUACCAGAGUAAUGGACAAUGUAAAAUGUAAGUAAUUCUUAAAAGCAAAUAGGUGUUCAAACCAGCCUGAAUUUUGAAAAUAGCACAUGCAUCGACUAUGACUAUCAACUGAUCAAGUGGAUAUGCUAAACAAUUGGCAAACUUAAGGAGAAUUUCCGAAAUUUACAGAGUGAUUAGACCAUUUACUUCUGAAUAGCUGGUUUUCCAAACUGCCCAUCGGCAUGAACUCAUAAACAAGAGCUAAAUUUUCAUCGUCAUGACAAAAUCCCAGGAGCUUGGUAAGGUUAGGGUGAGAUAUCCUUCCAAUAUAAUGUAGCUUCCUCUGCACGAAAAAAAAAGCAAAAGAGUCCCACACAUGGUCAGUGGUAAAAGAUAUGAAAGAAAUGGAAGCCCCCACAGUAAACCAGGUAGAUGUUUUCCUCCUAAAGCUUCAAAUGGUCAAAGAAAUGAAACAAUCACAACGGAAUAGUGGAUAUCAAAACAGAAGGUACAGAAUGGGAACUGAGACAUAAUUUCCAAUGAAAUGUUCAGUUUAACUAGUAGUUUGACUGAAGACUCAUGGUCAUUGUGCAUCCUGUAAUAUAAAAGACAUAUCGAUAUUGGUAAAAUGUACUUCAAGUCAUACUAGCUUUGUAGAAAAUAUCUAGCUUGCCAUGAACUAACAGUAGCUAUGCAAAAUCAUUGGAAUUUGUGACUGAAACCAUUUAUAAUUUACAAUCAAACUGGUGACUUUAUCUUGCAGUGGUGUAUCCACCCUAUGUGGUUAGACAAGCCUCGCAAUUUGUUUCGGUUCUUGAAUAUAGAAAGAGAAUUCGCUCGAAGGAAGAAGAAAACAAGUUCACUAUGAAAAGAACUGCAUUGCAUUAGUCAAAGAAGGUUGGAAAGACGAGUUACCUAAGGGCUAUGAUCACAUCGAAAAGGUUGAUCAUUACAAGGAUGGAAGACUGCGAACUUAUAUUUGUUCAAUUGCUUCAUUCCUUGCAAUCAAUUACAAUAGGUAGGUUCCUCCAAUAGUUAGCAUCAUACAAGCCAAUGGCCACACACACUCCAUGACAUGGGUUUACUAAGUCAAUUACAUAAUAGAAGAAAUGCAAAAAAGAAAGUUCAUUACCGCUAACGAAAUGGAGCCCUAAAAUCUAUUUUGCUGAGGACCUUAGUGACCAAAUAAUCUCAAGAACAGAAUCGCUUCUCGGAUUCUUUUACUUCGUUUAAAUUCAAAUAAUGCACAUUGUAUACACUAAAGUGGGGGUUUAGAUAACUGAAAACUUCAUGAGGAUUGCGAACAUAUGUUUAGGUAAUAUCACCAACCAAUUAACACUACUCAGUCAGGCACCAACAAUAGUGUUGUCUGCUGCGUUGCACCCCAGCAAAGCUGAUGAGGCCAUCAAUGAACUCUCAGAAUAAUCUGAUCUCUCUAUAACCAAAAUCAGAUGCAAUCCACAAGGGUCCUUUCAGAAACAAAAUUAAAAGGCGAGGCCACCACUUAUAGAAAUCUUGGGAUAAUCAACUUCAAAUACAUUUGGAUUUGCGUUUACAUAGCCAUCAUAAUUCAGGUUGUCCAGUAUUUCUCCUGCUAUUUUCACAAUGAGGGUGUUUAUUGACACGGUUGAGUUGGGCAUGACAAGCUCCCAUCAGUACCAUCAUCAUUUGGGUUGCUUCGGUUUUGUAAUUGACAAAACAAAGUACUUGUACUCCGAGAAAGGAAUUGAAGACGACUUAGUUCUUACCUGCCACGCUACCUGCCACGCUCCAUACCCUUGAGUGCCACCCUGGUUUAAUAUUUUCACAGCUAUUAUAGUCUCUGUAUUUCCAGACUGUUGCUUCCCAUGAAGCAUCCCUUUAUAGACACGACCAAAUCUUCCCUCUCCAAGCAGCGCAUCGGCUGGAAAAUUUUUGGUCGCCUCAUUCAACUCUGCGAAACUGAAGAUGGUCAAGCCGGGGUCUGCCACAAUCAUUCCAUCUCCUAAGGCCUUUUUGUCGCGGGCAGCCAGCAAGUCAUGGCUAUUGCUGGCUGCAGAACCCUUGCUAGCUGCAGAACACUUGCUGGCUUCAGAAGAUGAGGAAGUAGCGCGGGCAGCCGGCAAGUUAGUGCUGGCUGCAGAAGAUGAUGAAGGAGUGACUUCCCACUUCGCUCCUGGAGUUUCAAAAACGGAAAACAAAGGAAUAAAGAAAAUUGCUUCAGACGACAACACGAAGAACAUUAAAGACCCCAAUCUGAAGCACAAAGUUUAAUUUUAUAGACUACAUAGAUGUAAAGUUAAGGAUAAAUGUAGGAAAAAAUUUAAAGAGUACCUGAUUUGAGAUGACCAGUAUGGCUGGGAGUAGCGAAGUCAGGAGUACCAAAACACACCCCCAUCUCUCUCUCUGUCUCUCAACAAGAACUACCGUCUUUUCGCUACCUUUGCCCCUACCAAAUCUUAUUUCCUCUGGAGAAGUGAAAACACCAAAAAAGGCUCUCGCUGCUAAACCAGUUGAUUUUCUUAUGCCCAAAGCAAGUCCCAGAAAUUUCCAAUGCAUUCAUAUAUUGACCCCCGGGGGACUUUUACCAUGAUAUUUGACGUUUCAAAGGUGGUGGGACCCACCAAAAAAAAAAAAAAAAAAAGGAGGAGGAAAGCAGAAAUCGAGCACGCCCGAUUUUAAAACAAACUCCAUUCAGUAGAAUGUAGGAAUCCAUAAGUCGAUCGAGAAGAAGCUUCCUCUUCUUUUCAGCGAGUCGUCUGCCGACUCUGCCCUGCUAACGCCGGAAUAAAAAGUCUAUCCUUUUUUUCAUUAGAGUCAACCAAUAUGGAAAGAUCAUGCAAAUCAUUUGGUGGAGACGUCAAAUGUCUAUGGAAGGGAUUUACACCGCACUCCGCGUUAAUUCUGUUCUCUUAGGUAUCUUUCUUCGCAAUCCGACAACCGAGCCAGAGUCCUUCAUGGAACUAGUUUGCUGCCAGCUUAGCUGGCAAAUAGUCCUAUGAAGCCAAGAGGGGAAUUGAUUCCAUCAUUCGCUUUCGUGCGGUUAAGUCAGGUUUUUGCUUUCUUGCAGUUUAUCCAUCCAUUCACAAACAUUCCCAAAGCAGCAGCACGAAAUGAUGUAGUAUUAUUAGGACCAAAAAAAAUUAUUUCAUUUCCAAGACACAAUCAAUUUCCUUUCCCAAUUUCAUAGACGGCGAGAGAUUAAGGGAAAACCAGCUCUAAUCUUAGGUUCCCGCGAAACAUUCGGACAGCUUGGCCGAGCAGCUUUCUUAACCGCGGACAUGAAGGCGAUGGGCCUUUCUCUGAACGGCCUACAAAUCUAACUAUCUUAGCACCUUCGAAAUGUACGUCCUUCGUAAAUCUUUCGUCGCUACACCUAAAACUUCCAAAGCUUUAGACCUAGACAGCUUCCACAUAAACAAACCACUUCCAGGCACGCUGCUAGACCGAUAGAAAGCAAGUUUCUAGCCACAAUUUUCUCAAAGCCUAUAUAAUUCCCUGCAAUUAGCCAGGGACCCUUUAAAAAGUACCGUCAUUGGCCAUUAAUUCCAAAAUGCACUCUCAGAAGCUCGAAAACUUCCAGGCAAAGAUGAUGUGAUUAAGCUGAGCUUUUUCUUUCAUCAUGCCAUAGAAAGCUGUCUUGAUCUACAUUGCCUGAACCGCCUGUUUUAAAUUGAAUAAAGAUGUAGAGCUGAGCCUAGGAAUCAUCAUCAGCCAUGCGCUGGUGUGGUCAAAAAGAAAUUGCAGGAGAAACCGACUGCUAAAUUCAUCAACUCAAAAUUGAACACACUAAGGGAGUACAAUGUCAUGCACAUACCUACCAAGUUGUUAGACGACCAAUAAGCUUGAUGGAAAAGCAAGGUAAUCAUUCAAAACUAUCCUUAACAAAGUAUGGAAUGUGCCUAUCGAGCUUAGCUGACAUCCCUCUCAGAUACACAACAGCAUUAAUUGGACAACCCCGCUUAAUACCCAUAGUUGGCCCCAUAGACCGAGCCAUAAGC